UCAUCGAAACUUUAAGCAUGCAGACCCUGCGGAUUCGAGAACUAUGUAGACAUGACCAAGACAUGUCUCCGGUUAAUAACCAAUAGCGGAACCUGGAUGCUCAUAUUGGCUCCCACAUAUUCUACGAAGAUCUAUAUCGGUCAGACCGCAUAACAACAUACGGUGUUCCCUUUGUCAUCGGUAUGUUACUUGCCCGAGAUUCGAUCGUCGGUAUCUCAAUACCUAGUUCAAUCUCGUUACCGGCAAGUCUCUUUACUCGUUCUGUAAUACAUCAUCCCGCAACUAAAUCAUUAGUUGCAAUGCUUUUAUGGCUUAAGUGAUGUGCAUUACCGAGUGGGCCCAGAGAUACCUCUCCGACCAUCGGAGUGACAAAUCCUAAUCUCAAAAUACACCAACCCAACAAGUACCUUCGGAGACACCUGUAGAGCACCUUCAUAAUCACCCAGUUACGUUGUGAAGUUUGGUAGCACACAAAGUGUUCCUCCGGUAAACGGGAGUUGCAUAAUCUCAUAGUCAUAGGAACAUGUAUAAGUCAUGAAGAAAGCAAUAGAAACAUACUAAACAAUCGAGUGCUAAGCUAACGGAAUGGCUCAAGUCAAUCACAUCAUUCUCCUAAUGAUGUGAUCCCGUUAAUCAAAUGACAACUCAUGUCAAUGGCUAGGAAACAUAACCAUCUUCGAUCAACGAGCUAGUCAAGUAGAGGCAUACUAGUGACACUCUGUUUGUGUAUGUAUUCACACAAGUAUUAUGUUUUCAGUUAAUACAAUUCUAGCAUGAAUAAUAAACAUUUAUCAUGAUAUAAGGAAAUAAAUAAUAACUUUAUUCUUGCCUCUAGGGCAUAUUUCCUUCAGUCUCCCACUUGCACUAGAGUCAAUAAUCUAGAUUACACAGUAAUGAUACUAACACCCAUGGAGUCUUGGUGCUGAUCAUGUUUUGCUCGUGGAAGAGGCUUAGUCAACGGGUCUGCAACAUUCAGAUCCGUAUGUAUCUUGCAAAUUUCUAUGUCUCCCACUUGGACUAGAUCCCGGAUGGAAUUGAAGCGUGUCUUGAUAUGCUUGGUUCUCUUGUGAAAUCUGGAUUCCUUCACCAAGGCAAUUGCACCAGUAUUGUCACAAAAGAUUUUCAUUGGACCCGAUGCACUAGGUAUGACACCUAGAUCGGAUAUGAACUCCUUCAUCCAGACUCCUUCAUUUGCUGCUUCUGAAGCAGCUAUGUACUCCACUUCACACGUAGAUCCCACCACAACGCUUUGUUUAGAACUGCACCAACUGAUAGCUCCACCGUUCAAUGUAAACACGUAUCCGGUUUGCGAUUUAGAAUCAUCCGAAUCAGCGUCAAAGCUUGCAUCAACGUAACCAUUUAAAGUGAGCUCUUUGUCACCUCCAUAAACGAGAAACAUAUCCUUAGUCCUUUUCAGGUAUUUCAGGAUGUUCUUGACCGCUGUCCAGUGAUCCACUCCUAAAUUACUUUGGUACCUCCCUGCUAGACUUAUAGCAAGGCACACAUCAGGUCUGGUACACAACGUUGCAUACAUGAUAGAGCCUAUGGCUGAAGCAUAGGGAACAUAUUUCAUCUUCUCUCUAUCUUCUGCAGUGGUCGGGCAUUGAGUCUUACUCAACUUCACACCUUGUAACACAGGCAAGAACCCUUUCUUUGCUUGAUCCAUUUUGAACUUUUUCAAAACUUUGUCAAGGUAUGUGCUUUGUGUAAGUCCAAUUAAGAAUCUUGAUCUAUCUCAAUAGAUCUUGAUGCCCAAUAUAUAAGCAGCUUCAGCGAGGUCUUUCAUUGAAAACUCUUAUUCAUGUAUCCCUUUAUGCUAUCCAGAAAUUCUAUAUCAUUUCCAAUCAACAAUAUGUCAUCCACAUAUAAUAUCAAAAAUGCUACAGAGCUCCCACUCACUUUCUUGUAAAUACAGGCUUCUCCAAAAGUCUGUAUAAAACCAAAUGCUUUGAUCACACUAUCAAAGCGUUUAUUCCAACUCCGAGAGGCUUGCACCAGUCCAUAAAUGGAUUGCUGGAGCUUGCACACUUUGUUAGCUCCUUUUGGAUCGACAAAACAUUCUGGUUGCGUCAUAUACAACUCUUCUUCCAAAAAUCCAUUCAGGAAUGCAGUCUUGACAUACAUUUGCCAAAUUUCAUAAUCAUAAAAUGCGGCAAUUGCUAACAUGAUUCGGACAGACUUAAGCAUCGCUACGGGUGAGAAAGUCUCAUCGUAGUCAAUCCCUUGAACUUGUCAAAAACCUUUCGCAACAAGUCGAGCUUUAUAGACAGUAACAUUACUGUCAGCGUCAGUCUUCUUCUUGAAGAUCCAUUUAUUCUCAAUGGCUUGCCGAUCAACGGGAAAGUCAACCAAAGUCCAUACUUUGUUCUCAUACAUGGAUCCCAUCUUAGAUUUCAUGGCCUCGAGCCAUUUCGCGGAAUCUGGGCUCACCAUCGCUUCUGCAUAGUUCGUAGGUUCAUCAUGGUCUAGUAACAUAACCUCUAGAACAGGAUUACAGUACUACUCUGGUGUGGAUCUUACUCUGGUUGACCUACGAGGUUUAGUAACAACUUGAUCUGAAGUUUCAUGAUCAUCAUCAUUAACUUCCUCACUAAUUGGUAUAGACGUCACAGGAACCGAUUUCUGUGAUGAACUAAUUUCCAAUAAGGGAGCAGGUACGGUUACCUCAUCAAGUUCUACUUUCCUCCCACUCAAUUCUUUCGAGAGAAACUCCUUCUCUAGAAAGGAUCCAUUCAUAGCAACGAAUGUCUUGCCUUCGGAUCUGUGAUAGACGGUGUACCCAACAGUCUCCUUUGGGUAUCCUAUGAAGACACAUUUCUCCGAUUUGGGCUCGAGCUUAUCAGGUUGAAGCUUUUUCACAUAAGCAUCGCGGCCCCAAACUUUAAGAAAUGACAACUUUGGUUUCUUGCCAAACCACAGUUCAUAAGGCGUUGUCUCAACGGAUUUCAAUGGUGCCCUAUUUAACCUGAAUGCAGUCGUCUCUAAAGCAUAACCCCAAAAUGAUAGUGGUAAAUCAGUAAGAGACAUCAUAGACCACACCAUAUCUAGUAAAGUACGAUUACGACGUUCAGACACACCAUUACGCUGUGGUGUUCCAGGUGGCAUGAGUUGCGAAACUAUUCCGCAUUGUUUCAAAUGUAGACCAAACUCGUAACUCAGAUAUUCUCCUCCACGAUCAGAUCGUAGAAACUUUAUUUUCUUGUUACGAUGAUUUUCAACUUCACUCUGAAAUUCUUUGAACUUUUCAAAUGUUUCAGACUUAUGUUUCAUUAAGUAGAUAUACCCAUAUCUGCUUAAAUCAUCUGUGAAGGUGCGAAAAUAACGAUAUCCGCCACAAGCCUCAACAUUCAUCGGACCACAUACAUCUGUAUGUAUGAUUUCCAACAAAUCUGUUGCUCGCUCCAUAGUUCCGGAGAACGGCAUUUUUGUCAUCUUGCCCAUGAGGCAUGGUUCGCAAGUACCAAGUGAUUCAUAAUCAAGUGAUUCCAAAAGUCCAUCAGUAUGGAGUUUCUUCAUGCGCUUUACACCAGUAUGACCCAAAAAGUAGUGCCACAAAUAAGUUGCACUAUCAUUAUCAACUCUGCAUCUUUUGGCUUCAACGUUAUGAAUAUGCGUAUCACUACUAUCGAGAUUCAUCAAAAAUAGACCACUCUUCAAGGGUGCAUGACCAUAAAAGAUAUUACUCAUAUAAAUAGAACAACCAUUAUUCUCUGAUUUAAAUGAAUAACCGUCUCGCAUCAAACAAGAUCCAGAUAUAAUGUUCAUGCUCAACACUAGCACCAAAUAACAAUUAUUUAGGUCUAAUACUAAUCCCGAAGGUAGAUGUAGAGGUAGCGUGCCGACGGCGAUCACAUCGACUUUGGAACCGUUUCCCACGCGCAUCGUCACCUCGUCCUUGGCCAGUGUUCGCUUAAUCUGUAGUCCCUGUUUUGAGUUGCAAAUAUUAGCAACAGAACCAGUAUCAAAUACCCAGGUGCUACUGCGAGCUCUGGUAAGGUACACAUCAAUAACAUGUAUAUCACAUAUACCUUUGUUCACCUUGCCAUCCUUCUUAUCCGCCAAAUACUUGGGGCAGUUCCACUUCCAGUGACCAGUCUGCUUGCAGUAGAAGCACUCGGUCUCAGGCUUAGGUCCUGACUUGGGUUUCUUCUCUUGAGCAGCAACUUGCUUGCUGUUCUUCUUGAAGUUCCCCUUCUUCUUCCAUUUGCCCUUUUUCUUGAAACUGAUGGUCUUAUUGACCAUCAACACUUGAUGCUCCUUCUUGAUUUCUACCUCCGCUACUUUUAGCAUUGCGAAGAGCUCGGGAAUCGUCUUAUCCAUCCCUUGAAUGUUAUAGUUCAUCACGAAGCUCUUGUAGCUUGGUGGCAGUGAUUGAAGAAUUCCGUCAAUGACGCUAUCAUCCUGAAGAUUAACUCCCAGUUGAAUCAAGUGAUUGCAGUACCCAGACAUUCUGAGUAUAUGCUCACUGAUAGAACUACCCUCCUCCAUCUUACAGCCGUAGGACUUAUUGGAGACUUCAUAUCUCUCAAUCCGGGCAUUUGCUUGAAAUAGUAACUUCAACUCCUGGAACAUCUCACAUGCUCCAUGACGUUCAAAAACGUCGUUGAAGUCCCGGUUCUAAGCCGUAAAGCAUGGCACACUGAACUAUCGAGUAGUCAUCAACACGCGACUGCCAGGCAUUCACAAUGUGUGCAGUUGCGGGUGCAGGUGGUACACCUAGCGGUGCUUCCAGGACGUAAUUCUUCUGUGCAGCAAUGAGGAUAAUCCUCAAGUUACGGACCCAGUCCAUGUAAUUGCUACCAUCAUCUUUCAACUUUGCUUUCUCAAGGAACGCAUUAAAAUUCAACGGAACAACAACAGGGCCAUCUAUCAACAAUCAACAUAGACAAGCAAGAUACUAGCAGGUACUAAGUUCAUGAUAAAUUUAAGUUCAAUUAAUCAUAUUACUUAAGAACUCCCACUUAGAUAGACAUCUCUCUAAUCUUCUAAGUGAUCACGUGAUCCAUAUCAACUAAACCAUAACCGAUCAUCACGUGAAAUGGAGUAGCUUUCAAUGGUGAACAUCACUAUGUUGAUCAUAUCUACUAUAUGAUUCACGCUCGACCUUUCGGUCUUAGUGUUCCGAGGCCAUAUCUGCAUAUGCUAGGCUCGUCAAGUUUAACCUGUGUAUUCUGUGUGUGCAAAAACUGGCUUGCACCCAUUGUAGAUGGACGUAGAGCUUAUCACACCCGAUCAUCACGUGGUGUCUGGGCACGACAAACUUUGGCAACGGUGCAUACUCAGGGAGAACACUUUUAUCUUGAAAUUUAGUGAGAGAUCAUCUUAUAAUGCUACCGUCAAUCAAAGCAAGAUAAGAUGCAUAAAAGAUAAACAUCACAUGCAACCAAUAUAAGUGAUAUGAUAUGGCCAUCAUCAUCUUGUGCUUGCGAUCUCCAUCUCCGAAGCACUGUCAUGAUCACCAUAGUCACCGGCGCGACACCUUGAUCUUCAUCGUAACAUCGUUGUCGUCUCGCCAAUCUUAUGCUUCUACGACUAUCGCUACCGCUUAGUGAUAAAGUAAAGCAUUACAGGGCGAUUGCAUUGCAUACAAUAAAGCAACAACCAUAUGGCUCCUGCCAGUUGCCGAUAACUCCGUUACAAAACAUGAUCAUCUCAUACAAUAAAAUUUAGCAUCAUGCUUUGACCAUAUCACAUCACAACAUGCCCUGCAAAAACAAGUUAGACGUCCUCUACUUUGUUGUUGCAAGUUUUACGUGGCUGCUAUAGGCUGAGCAAGAACCGUUCUUACCUACGCAUCAAAACCACAACGAUAGUUUGUCAAGUUGGUGUUGUUUUAACCUUUGCAAGGACCGAGCGUAGCUACACUCCGUUCAACUAAAGUUGGACAAAUUGACACCCGCCAGCCACCUGUGUGCAAAGCACGUCGGUAGAACCAGUCUCGCAUAAGCGUACGCGUAAUGUCGGUCCAGACCGCUUCAUCCAACAAUACCGUCGAACCAAAGUAUGACAUGCUGGUAAGCAGUAUGACUUAUAUCGCCCACAACUCACUUGUGUUCUACUCGUGCAUAUGACAUCUACGCAUAAAACCAGGCUCGGAUGCCAUUGUUGGGGAACGUAGUAAUUUCAAAAAAGAAAUCCUACGCACAUGCAAGAUCAUGGUGAUGCAUAGCAACAAUAGGGGAGAGUGGUGUCUACGUACCCUCGUAGACUAAAAGCGGAAGCAUUAGCACAACGCGGUUGAUGUAGUCGUAUGUCUUCAUGAUCCGACCAAUCAAGUACCGAACGCAUGGCACCUCCGAGUUCAGCACACGUUCAGCUCGAUGACGUCCCUCGAACUCCGAUCCAGCCGAGUGUUGAGGGAGAGUUUCGUCAGCACGACGGCGUGGUAACAAUGAUGAUGUUCUACCGAUGCAGGGCUUCGCCUAAGCACCGCUACAGUAUUAUCGAGGUGGACUAUGGUGGAGGGGGGCACCGCACACAGCUAAAAGAUCAAAUCAAUUGUUGUGUCUCUAGGGUGCCCCCCUGCCCCGUAUAUAAAGGAGCAAGGGGGGAGGUGCGGCCAGCUAGGAGGAGGCGCGCCAGGAGGAGUCCUACUGCCACCGGGAGUAGGACUCCCUCCCUUCCUUGUUGGAUUAGGAGAAGGGGGAAAGAGGAGGGAGAGAGGAAGGGAAGGGGGGCGCUGCCCCCCUCUCCUUGUCCUAUUCGGACUAGAGGUGGAGGGGCGCACGGCCCUGCCCUAGCCGCCUCUCCUCUUCUCCACUAAGGCCCACUAUGGCCCAUUAAGCCCCCGGGGGGUUCCGGCAACCCCUCGGUACUCCGGUAAAAUCCCGAUUUCACCCGGAACACUUCCGAUACCCAAAUAUAGGCUUCCAAUAUAUCAAUCUUCAUGUCUCGACCAUUUCGAGACUCCUCAUCAUGUCCAUGAUCACAUCCGGGACUCCGAACAACCUUCGGUACAUCAAAACUCAUAAUAUAACUGUCAUCGUAACUUUAAGCGUGCGGACCCUACGGAUUCGAGAACUAUGUAGACAUGACCGAGACACGUCUCCGAUGAAUAACCAAUAGCGGAACCUGGAUGCUCAUAUUGGCUCCCACAUAUUCUACGAAGAUCUAUAUCGGUGAGACCGCAUAACGACAUAUGUUGUUCCCUUUGUCAUCGGUAUGUUAUUUGCCCGAGAUUCGAUCGUCGGUAUCUCAAUACCUAGUUCAAUCUCGUUACCGGCAAGUCUCUUUACUCGAUCCGUAAUACAUCAUCCCGCAACUAUCAAUGCUUGCAAGGCUUAAGUGAUGUGCAUUACCGACUAGGCCCAGAGAUACCUCUCCCACGAUCGGAGUGACAAAUCCUAAUCUCGAAAUACGCCAACCCAACAAGUACCAUCAGAGACACCUGUAGAGCACCUUGCUACCUCUUGAGCACUGCGUUGGUUUUCCCCGAAGAGGAAGGGAUGAUGCAGCAAAGUAGCGUAAUUAUUUCCCUCAAUUUUUGAGAACCAAGGUAUCAAUCUAGUAGGAGGCUACGCGCGAGUCCCUCGUACCUACACAAAACAAAUAAAUCCUCGCAACCAAUGCAAAUAGGGGUUGGCAAUCCCUACUCGGCCACUUACGAGAGUGAGAUCUGAUAGAUAUGAUAAGAUAUUAUUUUUGGUAUUUUUAUGAUAAAGAUGCAAAGUAAAAUAAAAGCAAAGUAAAAGCAAAAGGAAAUAACUAAGUAUUGGUAGAUUAAUAUGAUGAAGACAGACCCAGGGGCCAUAGGUUUCACUAGUGGCUUCUCUCGAGAGCAUGAGAAUUCUACGGUGGGUGAACAAAUUACUGUUGAGCAAUUGACAGAAUUGAGAAUAGUUAUGAGAAUAUCUAGGUAUGAUCAUGUAUAUAGGCAUCACGUCCGAGACAAGUAGACCGACUCCUGCCUGCAUCUACUACUAUUACUCCACUCAUCGACCGCUAUCCAGCAUGCAUCUAGAGUAUUAAGUUAAUGAAAACAGAGUAACGCCUUAAUCAAGAUGACAUGAUGUAGAGGGAUAAACUCAUGCAAUAUGAUGAAAACCCCAUCUUGUUAUCCUCGAUGGCAAUAAUACAAUACGUGCCUUGCUGCCCCUACUGUCACUGGGAAAGGACACCGCAAGAUUGAACCCAAAGCUAAGCACUUCUCCCAUUGCAACAAAGAUCAAUCUAGUAGGCCAAACCAAACUGAUAAUUCGAAGAGACUUGCAAAGAUAACCAAUCAUACAUAAAAGAAUUCAGAGAAGAUUCAAAUAUUGUUCAUAGAUAGACUUGAUCAUAAACCCACAAUUCAUCGAUCUCAACAAACACACCACAAAAAGAAGAUUACAUCGAAUAGAUCUCCACAAGAGAGGGGGAGAACUUUGUAUUGAGAUCCAAAAAGAUAGAAGAAGCCAUCUAGCUAAUAACUAUGGACCCGUAGGUCUGAAGUAAACUACUCACACUUCAUCGGGGGGGCUAUGGUGUUGAUGUAGAAGCCCUCCAUGAUUGAUGCCCCCUCCGGCAGAGCUCCGAAACAGGCCCCAAGAUGGGAUCUCGUGGAUACAGUAAGUUGCGGCGGUGGAAUUAGGGUUUUGGCUCCGUAUCUGAUCGUUUGGGGUACGUAGGUUCAUAUAGGAGGAAGGAGUACGUCGGUGGAGCAACAGGGGGCCCACGAGGGUGGAGGGCGCGCCUGGUGGGGGUAGGCGCGCCCCCCUACCUCAUGGAUUCCUCUUUUGUGUCUUGAUGUAGGGUCCAAGUCUCCUGGGUCUUGUUCGUUGAGAAAAUCACGUUCCCAACGGUUUCAUUCCGUUUGGACUCUGUUUGAUAUUCCUUUUCUUCGAAACCCUAAAACAGGCAAAAACCAGCAAUUCUAGGUUGGGCCUCGGGUUAAUAGGUUAGUCCCAAAAAUAAUAUAAAAGUGGAUAAUAAAGCCCAAUAAUGUCCAAAACAAUAGAUAAUAUAGCAUGGAGCAAUCAAAAAUUAUAGAUACAUUGGAGACGUAUCAAGCAUCCCCAAGCUUAAUUCCUGCUCGUCCUCGAGUAGGUAAAUGAUAAAAACAAAUUUUUUGAUGCGGAGUGCUACUUGGCAUAAUUUUAAUGUAAUUCUUCUUAAUUGUGGCAUGAAUAUUCAGAUCCGAAAGAUUCAAGACAAAAGUUCAUAUUGACAUAAAAAUAAUAAUACUUCAAGCAUACUAACAAAGCGAUUAUGUCUUCUCAAAAUAACAUGGCCAAAGAAAGUUCAUCCCUACAAAAUCAUAUAGUUUAGUCAUGCUUCAUUUUCGUCACACAAGAAUGCUCUCAUCAUGCACAACCCCGAUGACAAGCCAAGCAAUUGUUUCAUACUUUAGUAAUCUCAAACCUAUAAAAUUUCACGCAAUAUAUGAGCGCGAGCCAUGGACAUAGCAUAAUGGGUGGAAUAGAAUAUAAUGAGGGGGGUUAUGUGGAGAAGACAAAAAAAGAGGAAGUCUCACAUCAACGAGGCUAAUCAAUGGGCUAUGGAGAUUCCCACAGAUUGAUGUUAAUGCAAGGAGUAGGGAUUGCCAUGCAACGGAUGCACUAUAGCUAUAAAUGUAUGAAAGCUCAACAAAAGAAACUAAGUGGGUGUGCAUCCAACUUGCUUGCUCACGAAGACCUAGGGCACUUGAGGAGGACCAUUGUUGGAAUAUACAAGCCAAGUUCUAUAAUGAAAAUUCCCACUAGUACAUGAAAGUGACAAAACAAGAGACUCUCUAUCAUGAAGAUUACGGUGUUACUUUGAAGCACAAGUGUGGAAAGGAUAGCAACAUUGUCCCUUCUCUCUUUUUCUCUCAUUUUUUUCUUUUUUUGGGCCUUCUCUUUUUUUAUAUGGCCUUUCUCUUUUUUAUGGCCUUUCUCUUUCUUUUUUUAUUUAUUCCUCACUUGGUACAAUGCUCUAGAAAAUGAUGAUCAUCACACUUGUAUUUAUUUACAUCUCAAUGAUUACACCUCGAUGCUAGAACAAAAGAUGACUCUAUAUGAAUGCCUCCGGAGGUGUACCGGGAUAUGCAAUGGACCAAGAGUGACAUGUAUGAAAUAAUUAUGAACGGUGGCUUUGCCACAAAUACUAUGUCAACUACAUGAUCAUGCUAAGCAAUAUGACAAUAAUGAAUGUGUCAUGAUGAACGGAAUGGUGGAAAGUUGCAUGGCAAUAUAUCUCGGAAUGGCUAUGGAAAUGCCGUAAUAGGUAGGUAUGGUGGCUAUUUUGAGGAAGAUAUAAGGAGCUUUAUGUGUGAAAGAUCGUAUUAUAUCACGGGGUUUGGAUGCACCGGCAAAGUUUGCGCCAACUCUCAAUGUGAGAAAGGACAAUGCACGGUACCGAAGAGGCUAGCAAGGAUGGAAGGGUAAGAGUGCAUAUAAUCCAUGGACUCAACAUUAGUCAUAAAGAACUCACAUACUUAUUGCAAAAAUCUACAAGUCAUCAAAAACCUCGGCACUACGCGCAUGCUCCUAGGGGGAUAGAUUGGUAGGAAAAUACCAUCGCUCGUCCCCGACCGCCACUCAUAAGGAGGACAAUCAAAUAACACCUCAUGUUUCAAAUUUGUUACAUAACUUUACCAUACGUGCAUGCUACGGGAGUUGCAAACUUCAACACAAGCAUUUCUCAAUUUCACAACUACUCAACUAGCAUGACUUUGAUAUUAUUACCUCCAUAUCUCAAAACAAUCAUCAAGCAUCAAACUUCUCUUAGUAUUCAAAACACUCAUAAGAAAAUUUUACUAAUCUUGAAUGCCUAGCAUAUUAGGACUUUAAGCAAAUUACCAUGCUAUUAAGACUCUCAAAAUAAUCUAAGUGAACCAUGAGAGAUCAAUAGUUUCUAUAAAACAAAUCCACCACCGUGCUCUAAAAGAUAUAAGUGAAGUACUAGAGCAAAACUAUAUAACUCAAAAGAUAUAAGCGAAGCACAAAGAGUAUUCUAACAAAUUCCAAAUCAUGUAUGGCUCUCUCAAAAGGUGAGUACAGCAAGGAUGAUUGUGGUAAACUAAAAAGUAAAGACUCAAAUCAUACAAGACGCUCCAAGCAAAACACAUAUCAUGUGGCGAAUAAAAAUAUAGCUCCAAGUAAAGUUACCGAUAGAAGUAGACGAAAGAGGGGAUGCCUUCCAGGGCAUCCCCAAGCUUUGGCUUUUAGGUGUCCUUAGAUUAUCUUGGGGGUGCCAUGUGCAUCCCCAAGAUUAGGCUCUUGCCACUCCUUGUUCCAUAAUCCAUCAAAUCUUUACCCAAAACUUGAAAACUUCACAACACAAAACUCAAAGUAGAAAAUCUCGUGAGCUCUGUUAGCGAAAUAAAACAAAAGACCACUUCAAGGUAAUGUAAUGAACUCAAUAUUUAUUUAUAUUGGUGUUAAAUCUACUGUAUUCCAACUUCUCUAUGGUUUAUAAACUAUUUUACUAGCCAUAGAUUCAUCAAAAUAAGCAAACAACACACGAAAAACAGAAUCUGUCAAAAACAGAAUAGUCAGUAGUAAUCUGUAGCUAGCGCAAGAUCUGGAACCCCAAAAAUUCUAAAAUAAAUUGCUGGACGUGAGGAAUUUAUAUAUUAAUCAUCUUCAAAAAUAAUUAACUAAAUAUCACUUUCCAACUAAAAAUUACAGCAGUUCUCGUGAGCGCUAAAGUUUCUGUUUUUUACAGCAAGUUCAACAAGACUUUCCCCAAGUCUUCCCAACGGUUCUACUUGGCACAAACACUAAUUAAACACAAAAAACACAACCAAAACAGAGGCUAGAUAAAUUAUUUAUUACUAAACAUCAGCAAAAAUCAAGGAAUGAAAAUAAAAUUGGGUUACCUCCCAACAAGCGCUAUCGUUUAACGCCCCUAGCUAGGCAUAACAAGCAAGGAUAGAUCUAGGUAUUGCCAUUUUUGGUAGGCAAUCCAUAAGUGGCUCUCAUAAUAGAUUCAUAAGGUAAUUUAAUUUUCUUUCUAGGAAAUUUUUCCAUGCCUUUCCUUAAUGGAAAUUGGAAUCUAAUAUUUCCUUCCUUCAUAUCAAUAAUUGCACCAAUUGUUCUAAGGAAAUGUCUACCAAGAAUAAUAGGACAUGAAGGAUUGCAAUCUAUGUCAAGAAAAAUAAAAUCUAUGGGCACAUAAUUCCUAUUUGCAACAAUAAGAACAUCAUUAAUUCUUCCCAUAGGUUUCUUAAUAGUGGAAUCCGCAAUGUGCAAGUUUAGAGAGCAAUCAGCAAAAUCACGGAAACCUAACAAAUCACACAAAGUCUUUGGAAUCGUGGAAACACUAGCACCAAAAACACAUAAAGCAUAGCAUUCAUGAUCUUUAAUUUUAAUUUUAAUAUUUGGUUCCCACUCAUCAUAGAGUUUUCUAGGGAUAGAAACUUCCAAUGCAAGUUUUUCUUCAUAAGAUUGCAUCAAGGCAUCAACGAUAUGUUUAGUAAACGCUUUAUUUUGACUAUAAGCGUGAGGAGAGUUUAGCACGGAUUGCAACAAGGAAAUACAAUCAAUCAAAGAGCAAUUUUCAUAGUUAAAUUCCUUGCAAUCCAUAAUAGUGGGUUUAGCAACAUCUAGGGUUUUAAUUUCUUCAAUCCCACUUUUAUCAAUUUUAGCAUCAAGAUCAAAAAAUUCCGAAUUCUUGGAACGCCUUCUAGGUAAAGGUGGAUCAUAUUCAGUCCCAUCAUUAUCAAGAUUAAUAUUGAAAAACAAAGAUUUAAUAGGGGACACAUCAAUAACUUUUAGAUCUUCAUCUUUAUUUUCAUAGCAACUAGAAGAACACGCUUUUAUAAAGGCAUCUUUCUUAGCACGCAUCCUAGCGGUUGUUUCUUUGCACUCAUCAAUGGAAAUUCUCAUGGAUUUGAGAGACUCAUUGAUAUCAUUCUUAGGUGGAAUAGAUCUAAGUUACAAAGAAUCAACAUCAAGAGCAAUUCUAUCAACGUUCCUAGCCAACUCAUCAAUCUUAAGCAAUUUUUCUUCAAUCAAAGCAUUGAAAUUCUUUUGCGAAGUAAUAAAUUCUUUAAUAUUAGAUUCAAAAUCAGAGUGCAUCUUAUUAUAAUUUCCAUAAGAAUUGUUUUAGGAAUUACCAUAAUUAUUAGAGGGAUUACUAGGAUAAGGCCUAGGAUUAAAAUUUCCUCUAUACGCAUUGUUACCAAAAUUGUUCCUGCCAACAAAAUUCACAUCCAUAGAUUCAUUAUUAUUCUCAAUCAAAGUAGACAAGGGCAUAUUAUUAGGAUCAGAAGAAACACUUUUACUAGCAAAUAGUUUCAUAAGUUCAUCCAUCUUUCCACUCAAAACAUUAAUUUCUUCUAUCGCAUGCACCUUUUUAUUAGUAGAUCUUUCGGUAUGCCAUUGAGAAUAAUUAACCAUAAUAUUAUCUAGGAGUUUAGUAGCUUCUCCUAAAGUGAUUUCCAUAAAAGUUCCUCCCGCAGCCGAAUCUAAAAUAUUUCUAGAAGCAAAAUUCAAUCAGGCAUAAAUUUUUUGAAUAAUCAUCCACAAAUUCAAACCAUGAGUGGGGCAAUUACGUAUCAUUAAUUUCAUUCUCUCCCAAGCUUGUGCAACAUGUUCAUGAUCAAGUUGCUUAAAAUUCAUAAUAUCGUUUCUAAGAGAGAUGAUCUUAGCGGGAGGAAAAUACUUAGAGAUAAAAGCAUCUUUGCACUUGUUCCAUGAAUCAAUACAAUUUUUAGGCAAAGACGAAAACCAAGCUUUAGCAUGAUCUCUAAGCGAAAAAGGAAAUAGCUUCAAUUUAACAAUAUCAUUAUCGACAUAUUUCUUCUUUUGCAUAUCACACAAAUCAACGAAGCUAUUAAGAUGGGUAGUGGCAUCUUCACUAGGAAGGCCGGAAAACGGAUCUUUCAUGACAAGAUUCAGCAAAGCAGCAUUAAUUUCACAAGAUUCAGCAUCGGUAAGAGGAGCAAUCGGAGUGCUAAUAAAAUCAUUAUUGUUGGUAUUGGUAAAGUCACACAAUUUAGUGUUAUCUUGAGCCAUCGUGACAAGCAAGCAAACUAACACACAAGCAAACAAAAAGCAAGUGGGCAAAAAUAGGCGAAUAGAGAAAGAGAGGGAGGAUAGAGAGAGAGAGGCGAAUAAAACGGCAAGGGUGAAGUGGGGGAGAGGAAAAUGAGAGGCAAAUGGAAAAUAAUGUAAUGCGGGAGAUAAGGGUAUGUGAUGGGUACUUGGUAUAUUGACUUUUGCGUAGACCUCCCCGGCAACGGCAACAGAAAUCCUUCUUGCUACCUCUUGAGCACUGCGUUGGUUUUCCCCGAAGAGGAAGGGAUGAUGCAGCAAAGUAGCGUAAGUAUUUCCCUCAGUUUUUGAGAACCAAGGUAUCAAUCUAGUAGGAGGCUACGCGUGAGUCCCUCGUACCUGCACAAAACAAAUAAAUCCUCGCAACCAACACAAAUAGGGCUUGUCAAUCCCUACUCAGCCACUUACAAGAGUGAGAUCUGAUAGAUAUGAUAAGAUGAUAUUUUUUGUAUUUUUAUGAUAAAGAUGCAAAGUAAAAUAAAAGCAAAGUAAAAGCAAAAGGAAAUAACUAAGUAUUGGUAGAUUAAUAUGAUGAAGAUAGACCUUGAGGCCAUAGGUUUCACUAGUGGCUUCUCUCAAGAGCAUAAGUAUUCUACGGUGGGUGAACAAAUUACUGUUGAACAAUUGACAGAAUUGAGCACAGUUAUGAGAAUAUCUAGGUAUGAUCAUGUAUAUAGGCAUCACUUCCAAGACAAGUAGACCGACUCCUGCCUACAUCUACUACUAUUACUCCACUCAUCGACCACUAUCCAGCAUGCAUCUAGAGUAUUAAGUUAAUGAAAAUAGAGUAAUGCCUUAAGCAAGAUGACAUGAUGUAGAUGGAUAAACUCAUGCAAUAUGAUGAAAACCCCAUCUUGUCAUCCUCGAUGGCAACAAUACAAUACGUGCCUUGCUGCUCCUACUGUCACUGGGAAAGGACACCACAAGAUUGAACCCAAAGCUAAGCACUUCUCCAUUGCAAGAAAGAUCAAUCUAGUAGGCCAAAACAAACUGAUAAUUCGAAGAGACUUGCAAAGAUAACCAAUCAUACAUAAACAAAUUCAGAGAAGAUUCAAAUAUUGUUCAUAGAUAGACUUGAUCAUAAACCCACAAUUCAUCGAUCUCAACAAACACACCUCAAAAACAAGAUUACAUCGAAUAGAUCUCCACAAGAGAGGGGGAGAACUUUGUAUUGAGAUCCAAAAAGAGAGAAGAAGCCAUCUAGCUAAUUACUAUGGACCCGUAGGUCUGAAGUAAACUACUCACACUUCAUCAGGGGGCUAUGGUGUUGAUGUAGAAGCCCUCCGUGAUUGAUGCCCCCUCCGGCGGAGCUCCGGAAUAGGCCCCAAGAUGGGAUCUCGUGGAUAGAAAGUUGCGGUGGUGGAAUUAGGGUUUUGGCUCCGUAUCUGAUCGUUUGGGGGUACAUAGGUAUAUAUAUAGGAGGAAUGAGUACGUCGGUGGAGCAACAGGGGGCCCACGAGGGUGGAGGGCGUGCCUGGUGGGGGUAGGCGCGCCCCCCUACCUCGUGGCUUCCUCUUUUGUGUCUUGACGUAGGGUCCAAGUCUCCUGGGUCUUGUUCGUUGAUAAAAUCACGUUCCCGAAAGUUUCAUUCCGUUUGGACUCCCUUUGAUAUUCCUUUUCUUCGAAACCCUAAAACAGGCAAAAAAACAGCAAUUCUGGGUUGGACCUCCGGUUAAUAGGUUAGUCCCAAAAAUAAUAUAAAAGUGGAUAAUAAAGCCCAAUGAUGUCCAAAACAAUAGAUAAUAUAGCAUGGAGCAAUCAAAAAUUAUAGAUACGUUGGAGACGUAUCACACCUUUAUAAUCACCCAGUUACGUUGUGACGUUUGGUAGCACACAAAGUGUUCCUCUGGUAAACAGGAGUUGCAUAAUCUCAUAGUCAUAGGAACAUGUAUAAGUCAUGAAGAAAGCAAUAGCAACACACUAAACGAUCGAGUGCUAAGCUAACGGAAUGGGUCAAGUCAAUCACAUCAUUCUCCUAAUGAUGUGAUCCCGUUAAUCAAAUGACAACUCAUGUCAAUGGCUAGGAAACAUAACCAUCUCCGAUCAACGAGCUAGUUAAGUAGAGGCAUACUAGUGACACUCUGUUUGUCUAUGUAUUCACACAAGUAUUAUGUUUCCGGUUAAUACAAUUCUAGCAUGAAUAAUAAACAUUUAUCAUGAUAUAAGGAAAUAAAUAAUAACUUUAUUAUUGCCUCUAGGGCAUAUUUCCUUCAAGACCCUUGUCGGGGCGGCCUCCGCAGCUCCGGGAAGACCCUUGCCGGGGCAACUUGCCCAAUGCCAGCAGAACGCGCCGCCCUUGAGCCAAGGGGUUCCAACGCCAUCACCCACAUCGGAACAAAGGCUCGGGAGGCACCUCCAUGGUAGCAUGCAGAUCUUUGUGGAGAUCAUAAAUACACAAGAUUAGAUGAGGACCAGAAGACGACGAUCCUUGGCAAGAUCCUUGCCAAGGAAAUCCACGAGACCCCCGACAAGAUCCUUGCCGGGGAUGACUGCGGUGCCACGUCAAGACCCUUGCCGGGCCCCCGGCAAGACCCUUGCCGAGGGCAUCUGUGGGGCCGCAGCCAGGCCCACAUAUGCCAAGACUCCACCACUGCUCCCAUAUAGCUGCUAGCUCAACCAGCUAGGCAGGCAUCUGUGUGGCAGCGUGCGGACUCCACACCGACUCAGCAAGCACCGGCAUGGUGGCAUGCAGAUCUUCGUGAAGACUCCGCCACCAUGCCGGCCCAGCAGCCAGCCAACGUGGCGCUACAACGCAUCGUCAGCUCAGACGCGCGUCGGGGCCAGGCGAGGCGGCAACAGCUAGGACAAGCUUCCUUUUCGUCCCUGAUAAAGCAAGAGGGGCACGAGACAGUGCAUUAAAUGUGUUUGUCCGAUGGUGCCAGAGGAUAGACUCAGCCACUAUACACCUUUCCACCUCCUGUGUGCCACUAUGGCGACCCCUUUUUCGCUAUAAAAGGAGGCCCGAUGCAUACUAGAGAGGGAUUCGGAUCUUUGGAACUAGACACACACCGUAGCUAGUUCAAGAACUCAAGAACACUCAAAUAUAUGUCAAAGCAGGACUAGGUUUUAUGCGUCUCCGUGGCCCGAACCUGGGUAAAUGAUCCUUGUGCUAACCGCCAGACCCGCUCUUUGCACAACCCCGCGCCCGCUAACCGUCGAAGGGAUCCCAGCGAUUCCAUAGGUGUCGUUUCCACCGACGUCUUUGGUGCGCCAGGUAGGGGGCUGAUACGUCUCCAACGUAUCUAUAAUUUUUUAUUGUUCCAUGCUAUAUUAUAUCCUGUUUUGAACAUUAUUGGGCUUUAUUAUACACUUCUAUAUUAUUUUUGGGACUAACCUAUUAAGCGGGGGCCCAGCCCAGAAUUGUUGUUUUUUGCCUAUUUUAGGGUUUUGCAAGAUAAGAAUAUCAAACGGAGUCAAAACGGAAUGAAACCUUCGGGAACGUGAUUUUCGAAAUGAACNNNNNNNNNNNNNNNNNNNNNNNNNNNNNNNNNNNNNNNNNNNNNNNNNNNNNNNNNNNNNNNNNNNNNNNNNNNNNNNNNNNNNNNNNNNNNNNNNNNNNNNNNNNNNNNNNNNNNNNNNNNNNNNNNNNNNNNNNNNNNNNNNNNNNNNNNNNNNNNNNNNNNNNNNNNNNNNNNNNNNNNNNNNNNNNNNNNNNNNNNNNNNNNNNNNNNNNNNNNNNNNNNNNNNNNNNNNNNNNNNNNNNNNNNNNNNNNNNNNNNNNNNNNNNNNNNNNNNCCUUCCUCCUAUAUAUACCUAUGUACCCCAAAACUACCAGAUACGGACCCAAACCCCUAAUUCCACCACUGUAAUUUUCUGUAUCCACGAGAUCCCAUCUUGGGGCCUGUUCCGGAGCUCCGCCGGAGGGGGCAUCGAUCACGGAGGGCUUCUACAUCAACACCAUAGACCCUCCGAUGAAGUGUGAGUAGUUUACUUCAGACCUACGGGUCCAUAGUUAUUAGCUAGAUGGCUUCUUCUCUCUUUUUGGAUCUCAAUACAAUCUCCCCCUCUCUCGUGGAGAUCUAUUCGAUGUAAUCUUCUUUUGCGGUGUGUUUGUUGAGACCGAUGAAUUGUGAGUUUAUGAUCAAGUUUAUCUAUGAACAAUAUUUGAAUCUUCUCUGAAUUCUUUUAUGUAUGAUUGGUUAUCUUUGCAAUGUUCUUCGAAUUAUCAGUUUGGUUUGGCCUACUAGAUUGAUCUUUCUUGCAAUGGGAGAAGUGCUUAGCUUUGGGUUCAAUCUUACAGUGUCCUUUCCCAGUGACAGUAGGGGCAGCAAGGCACGUAUUGUAUUGUUGCCAUCGAGGAUAACAAGAUGGGGUUUAUAUCAUAUUGCAUGAGUUUAUCCCUCUACAUCAUGUCAUUUUGCUUAAAGUGUUACUCUGUUCUUAUGAACUUAAUACUCUAGAUGCAUGCUGGAUAGCGGUCGAUGUGUGGAGUAGUAGUAGUAGAUGUAGGUUGGAGUCGGUCUACUUGUCUCGGACGUGAUGCCUAUAUACAUGAUCAUACCUAGAUAUUCUCAUAACUAUGCUCAAUUCUGUCAAUUGCUCAACAGUAAUUUGUUCACUCACCGCAAUACUUAUGCUCCCGAGACAAGCCACUAGUGAAACCUAUGCCCCCCGGGUCUAUUCUCCAUUAUAUCAAUCUCCAAUACUUAGUUAUUUUUAUUGCUUUCUAUUUUACUUUGCAUCUUUAUCAUAAAAAUACCAAAAAUAUUAUCUUAUCAUAUCUAUCAGAUCUCACUCUCGUAAGUGACCUGUAGGGAUUGACAACCCCUUAUCGCGUUGGUUGCGAGGAUUUAUUUGUUUGUGUAGGUCCGAGGGACUCGCGCGUGGCCUCCUACUAGAUUGAUACCUUGGUUCUCAAAAACUGAGGGAAAUACUUACGCUGCUUUACUGCAUCACCCUUUCCUCUUCAAGGGAAAACCAACGCAGUGCUCAAGAGGUAGCAAUAAUGAUUUCUAGCGCCGUUGCCGGGGAGUCUACGCAAAAGUCAACAUACCAAGUACCCAUCACAAAUCCUUAUCUCCCGCAUUACAUUAUUUGCCAUUUGCCUCUCGUUUUCCUCUCCCCCACUUCACCCUUGCCGUUUUAUUCGUCCUCUCUCUCUCUAUCUAUCCUCCCUCUCUUUCUCUCUUCGCCUCUUUUUGCCCGUCUCUUGUUUGCUUGUGUGUUGGAUUGCUUGCUUGUCAUGAUGGCUCAAGAUAACACCAAAUUGUGUGACUUCACUAAUACCAACAACAAUGAUUUUAUUAGCACUCUAAUUGCUCCUCUUACAGAUGUUGAAUCUUGUGAAAUUAAUGCUGCUUUGUUGAAUCUUGUCAUGAAAGAUCAAUUCGCCGGCCUUCCUAGCGAAGAUGCCGCUACCCAUCUAAAUAGCUUCGUUGAUUUAUGUGAUAUGCAAAAGAAGAAAGAUGUGGACAAUGAUAUUGUUAAAUUGAAGCUAUUUCCUUUUUGGCUUAGAGAUCGUGCUAAAGCUUGAUUUUCGUCGUUGCCUAAAAAUAGUAUUGAUUCAUGGAAUAAGUGCAAAGAUGCUUUUAUCUCUAAGUAUUUUCCUCCUGCUAAAAUCAUCUCUCUUAGAAACGAUAUCAUGAAUUUUAAGCAACUUGAUCAUGAACAUGUUGCACAAGCUUGGGAGAGGAUGAAAUUAAUGAUACGUAAUUGCCCUACACAUGGUUUGAAUUUGUGGAUGAUUAUACAAAAAAUUUAUGCCGGAUUGAAUUUUGCUUCUAGAAAUCUUUUAGAUUCGGCCGCGGGAGGCACUUUUAUGGAAAUCACUUUAGGAGAAGCUACUAAACUCCUAGAUAAUAUUAUGGUUAAUUAUUCUCAAUGGCACGCUGAAAGAUCUACUAAUAAGAAAGUGCAUGCGAUAGAAGAAAUCAAUGUUUUGAGUGGAAACAUGGAUGAACUUAUGAAAUUAUUUGCUAAUAAAAGUGUUUCUUCUGAUCCUAAUGAUAUGCCUUUGUCUACUUUGAUUGAGAAUAAUAAUGAAUCUAUGGAUGUGAAUUUUGUUGGUAGGAAUAAUUUUGGUAACAACGCGUAUAGAGGAAACUUUAAUCCUAGGCCGUAUCCUAGUAAUUCCUCUAAUAAUUAUGGUAAUUCCUACAACAAUUCUUAUGGAAAUUCUAAUAAGAUGCCAUCUGAUUUUGAAUCCAAUAUUAAAGAAUUUAUUACUUCGCAAAAGAAGUUCAAUGCUUUGAUUGAAGAAAAAUUGCUUAAGAUUGAUGAGUUGGCUAGGAAUGUUGAUAGAAUUUCUCUUGAUGUUGAUUCUUUGAAACUUAGAUCUAUACCACCUAAGCAUGAUAUCAAUGAGUCUCUCAAAGUCAUGAGAAUUUCCAUUGAUGAGUGCAAAGAAAGAACCUCUAGGAUGCGUGCUAAGAAAGAUUGCUUUAUAAAAGCAUGUUCUUCUAGUUUCCAUGAUAAUAAAGAUGAAGAUCUAAAAGUUAUUGAUGUGUCCCCUAUUAAAUCUUUGUUUUGCAGUAUGAAUCUUGAUAAUGAUGGGACUGAAUGUGAUCCACCUUUACCUAGAAGGCGUUUCAAAAAUUCGGAGUCUUUAGAUCUUGACGCUAAAAUUGUUAAAAGUGGGAUUGAAGAAGUCAAAACACUAGAUAUAGACGAACCCACUAUUUUGAAUUUCAAGGAAUUUAGUUAUGAUAAUUGCUCUUUGAUAGAUUCUAUUUCCUUGUUGCAAUAUGUGCUAAAUUCUCCUCAUGUUUAUAGCCAAAAUAAAGCCUUUACCAAACAUAUCGUUGAUGCUUUGAUGCAAUCUUAUGAAGAAAAAGUUGAGUUGGAAGUUUCUAUUCCUAGAAAACUUUAUGAUGAGUGGGAACCUACUAUUAAAAUUAAAAUUAAAGAUCAUGAAUGCUAUGCUUUGUGUGAUUUGGGAGCUAGUGUUUCCAUGAUUCCUAAGACUUUGUGUGAUUUGCUAGGUUUCCGUGAUUUUGAUGAUUGCUCUUUAAACAUGCAUCCUACAGAUUCCACUGUUAAGAAACCUAUGGGAAGAAUUAAUGAUGUUCUUAUUAUUGCAAAUAGGAAUUAUGUGCCCAUGGAUUUUAUUGUUCUUGACAUAGAUUGCAAUCCUUCAUGUCCUAUUAUUCUUUGUAGACCUUUUCUUAGAACGAUUGGUGCAAUUAUUGAUAUGAAGGAAGGGAAUAUUAGAUUCCAAUUUCCGUUAAGGAAAGGCAUGGAACACUUCCCUAGAAAGAAAAUUAAAUUACCUUAUGAAUCUAUUAUGAGAGCCACUUAUGGAUUUCCUUCCAAAGAUGGCAAUACCUAGAUCUAUCUUCGCUUUUAUGCCUAGCUAGGGGCGUUAAACGAUAGCGCUUGUUGGGAGGCAACCUAAUUUUAUUUUUAUUCCUUGAUUUUUUCUCAUGUGUAGUAAUAAAUAAUUUAUUUAGCAUCUGUUUUGGUUGUGUUUUUUGUGUUUAAUUAGUGUUUGUGCCAAGUAGAACCAUUGGGAAGACUUGGGGAAAGUCUAUUUAAUCUUGCUGUAAAAAACAAAAACUUUAGCACUCACAAGAACUGCUGUCAUUUUUAUUUGGAAAGUGAUAUUUAGUUAAUUAUUUUUGCAGAUGAUUAAUAGAUACAUUCCUCCCGUCCAGCAAUUUAUUUUAGAAUUUUUGGGGUUCCAGAUCUUGCGUUAGCUACAGAUUACUACAGACUGUUCUGUUUUUGACAGAUUCUGUUUUUCGUGUGGUGUCUGCUUAUUUUGAUGAAUCUAUGGCUAGUAAAAUAGUUUAUAAACCAUAGAGAAGUUGGAAUACAGUAGGUUUAACACCAAAAUAAGUAAAGAAUGAGUUCAUUACAGUACCUUGAAGUGGUGUUUUCUUUUCUUUCGCUAACGGAGCUCACGAGAUUUUCUACUUUAAGUUUUGUGUUGUGAAGUUUUCAAGUUUUGGGUAAAGAUUUGAUGGAUUAUGGAACAAGGAGUGGCAAGAGCAAAAGCUUGGGGAUGCCCAUAGCACCCCCAAGAUAAUAUAAUGACACCUAAAAGCCAAAGCUUGGGGAUGCCCCGGAAGGCAUCCCCUCUUUCAUCUACUUCUAUCGGUAACUUUACUUGGAGCUAUAUUUUUAUUUACCACAUGAUAUGUGUUUUGCUUGGAGCGUCUUGUAUUAUUUGAGUCUUUAUUUUUUUAGUUUUCCAUAAUCAUCCUUGCUGCACACACCUUUUUGAGAGAGACACUCAUGAUUCGGAGAUUGUUAGAAUAUUCUAUGUGCUUCACUUAUAUCUUUUGAGUUAUAUAGUUUUGCUCUAGUGCUUCACUUAUAUUUUUUUAGAGCACGUUGGUAGAUUUGUUUUUUAGAAACCAUUGUUCUCUCAUGCUUCACUUAGAUUAUUUUGAGAGUCCUACAAAACAGCGUGGUAAUUUUCUUUAAUUAUUUUAGGCAUUCAAGAUUAAUAAUAAAAUUUUCUUAUGAGUGUGUUGAAUACUAUGAGAAGUUUGAAACUUGAUAAUUGUUUUUCACAUAUGGAGAUGGUGAUACUAGAGUCGUGCUAGUCGACUAGUUGUGAAUUUUAGAAAUACUUGUGUUAAAGUUUGUGAUUCCCGUAGCAUGCACAUAUGGUGAACUGCUAUGUGAUGAAGCCGGAGCAUGAUUUAUUUAUUGAUUGUCUUCCUUAUGAGUGGCGGUCGGGGACGAGCGAUGGUCUUUUCCUACCAAUCUUUCCCUACUUUGCUUUGAUAACUUGUAGAUUUUUGCAAUAAGUAUAUGAGUUCUUUAUGAAUAAUGUUGAGUCCAUGGAUCAUAUGCACUCUCACCCUUCCACCGUUGCUAGCCUCUCUAAUACCGCGCACCUUUCGCCGGUAUCAUACACCCACCAUAUACAUUCCUCAAAACAGCCACCAUACCUACCUAUCAUGGCAUUUCCAUACCAAUUCCGAGAUAUAUUGCCAUGCAACUUUCCACCGUUCCGUUUACUAUGACACGCUCCAUCAUUGUCAUAUUGCUUUUGCAUGAUCAUGUAGUUGACAUUGUAUUUGUGGCAAAGCCACCAUUCAUAAUUCUUUCAUACAUGUCCCUCUUGAUUCAUUGCAUAUCCCGGUACAUCGCCGGAGGCAUUCACAUAGAGUCAUAUUUUGUUCUAAGUAUUGAGUUCUAAUUGUUGAGUUGUAAGUAAAUAAAAGUGCGCUGAUCAUCAUUUUUUAGAGCAUUGUCCCAAGUGAGGAAAGGAUGAUGGAGACUAUGAUUCCCCCACACGUCGGGAUGAGACUCCGGAUGAAAAAAAGUCCAUAAAAAGAAGACAAAAGGCCCAAAUAAAAAAAUGAGAGAAAAAGAGAGAAGGGGCGAUGCUACUAUCCUUUUACCACACUUGUUCUUCAAAGUAGCACCAUGAUCUUCAUGAUAGAGAGUCUCCUAUGUUAUCACUUUCAUAUACUAGUGGGAAUUUUUCAUUAUAGGACUUGGCUUGUAUAUUCCAAUGAUGGGCUUCCUCAAAAUGCCCUAGGUCUUCGUGAGCAAGCGAGUUGGAUGCACACCCACUUAGUUCAUUUUGUUGAGCUUUCAUACACUUAUAGCUCUAGUGCAUCCGUUGUAUGGCAAUCCCUACUCACUCACAUUGAUAUCUAUUCAUGGGAAUCUCCAUACCCCGUUGAUACGCCUAGUUGAUGUGAGACCAUCUUCUCCUUCCUUUUGUCUUCUCCACAACCACCAUUCUGUUCCACCUAUAGUGCUAUGUCCAUGGCUCACGCUCAUGUAUUGCGUGAAGAUUGAAAAUGUUUGAGAACACUAAAAGUAUGAAACAAUUGCUUGGCUUGUCAUUGGGGUUGUGCAUGAUUUAAAUACUUUGUGUGGUGAAGAUGAAGCAUAGCCAGACUAUAUGAUUUUGUCGGGAUAACUUUCUUUGGCCAUGUUAUUUUGAGAAGACAUAACUUCCUUUUGUCUUGAAUCUUUCGGAACUGAAUAUUCAUACCACAAUUAAGAGAAUUACAUUGAAAUUAUGCCAAGUAGCAUUCCACAUAAAAAAUUCUGUUUUUAUCAUUCACCUACUCGAGGACGAACAGGAAUUAAGCUUGGGGGUGCUUGAUACGUCUCCAUCGUAUCUAUAAUUUUUUAUUGUUCCAUGCUAUGUUAUAUCCUAUUUUUAACAUUAUUGGGAUUUAUUAUACACUUUUAUAUUAUUUUUGGGACUAACCUAUUAACCGGAGGCCCAGCCCAGACUUGUUGUUCUUGGCCUAUUUUAGGGUUUCGCAAGAAAAGAAUAUCAAACAGAGUCCAAAAGGAAUGAAACCUUCGGGAAUGUGAUUUUCGAAACGAACAUGAUCCAGGAGACUUGGACCCUACGUCAAGCAACCAACAGGGAAGCCACGAGGUAGGGGGCGCACCUCCCUCCCCCCCAGGCGCGCCCUCCACCCUCGUGGGCCCCCUGUUGCUCCACCGACGUACUCCUUCCUCUUAUAUAUACCUACGUACCCCCAAACUACCAGAUACGUAGCCAAACCACUAAUUCCACCACCGUAACUUUCUAUAUCCAUGAGAUCCCAUCUUGGAGCCUGUUCCGGAGCUCCGCCGAAGGGGGCAUCGAUCAUGGAGGGCUUCUACAUCAACACCAUAGCCCCUCCGAUGAAGUGUGAGUAGUUUACUUCAGACCUACGGGUCCAUAGUUAUUAGCUAGAUGGCUUCUUCUCUCUUUUUGGAUCUCAAUACAAUGUUCCCCCCCUCUCUCGUGGAGAUCUAUUCGAUGUAAUCUUCUUUUGCGGUGUGUUUGUUGAGACCGAUGAAUUAUGGGUUUAUGAUCGAGUUUAUCUAUGAACAAUAUUUGAAUCUUCUCUGAAUUCUUUUAUGUAUGAUUGGUUAUCUUUGCAAAUCUCUUUGAAUUAUCAGUUUGGUUUGGCCUACUAGAUUGAUCUUUCUUGCAAUGGGAGAAGUGCUUAGGUUUGGGUUCAAUCUUGCGUGUCCUUUCCCACUGACAGUAGGGAUAGCAAGGCACGUAUUGUAUUGUUGCCAUCGAGGAUAACAAGAUGGGAUUAAUAUCAUAUUGCAUGAGUUUAUCCCUCUACAUCAUGUCAUCUUGCUUAAAGCGUCACUCUGUUCUUAUGAACUUAAUACUCUAGAUGCAUGCUGGAUAGCGGUCAAUGUGUGGAGUAAUAGUAGUAGAUGCAGGCAGCAGUCGGUCUACUUGUCUCGGACGUGAUGCCUAUAUACAUGAUCAUACCUAGAUAUUCUCAUAACUAUGCUCAAUUCUGUCAAUUGCUAAACAGUAAUUUGUUCACCCACCGUAAUACUUAUGCUCUCGAGAGAAGCCACCAGUGAAACCUAUGGCCCCCAGGUCUAUUCUCCAUUAUAUCAAUCUUCCAAUACUUAGUUAUUUUUAUUGCUUUCUAUUUUAUUUUGCAUCUUUAUCAUAAAAAUACCAAAAAUAUUAUCUUAUCAUAUCUAUCAGAUCUCACGCUCGUAAGUGACCGUGUAGGGAUUGACAACCCCUUAUCGCGUUGGUUGCGAGGAUUUAUUUGUUUGUGUAGGUGCAAGGGACUCGCGUGUGGCCUCCUACUAGAUUGAUACCUUGGUUCUCAAAAACCGAGGGAAAUACUUACACUGCUUUACUACGUCACCCUUUCCUCUUCAAGGGAAAACUAACACAGUGCUCAAGAGGUAGCAGGGGCGCAGUUGUGAAAAUGUGGUCUAGCAGUUAGUUUAGCAAUUCUUCAUCGCCAUGGCUCCCAAGAAGAAGACGAUCACAGCGAUCGGUUCAUCGGGGACCAAACGGCCCGUACAACUGCGGGCGAGGAGUGGGGCGGUCGCGGACGGGAGCCGAGGCGUGGCCCAUGAACACCCGCAUCGCUCUGGUAGCCAAAGCCUGGAGAGCGGCGUCGUUCAUGCGCGAGACGACAGACCACACGCCGCCAAAUCCAAUGACGGAGCCGGGCCCCCGCAGGCGGUGUGGGGCCCUCCAGGGGCAGCGUCGUGCCACCCUCGGGCAGCGCGGCGACUUCCGAGGCGCCUACACUGGCGCCCACGACGCUCGCUUCCCAGGUUGUGCGCGGCGAGCAGCAUCACCACGCUGGUGACCCUGGGCGCCGCCGUGGGAAGAGUCAUGUGCGUCAUUCGCGGGACGUAGAGGCCAACAUGCACGCCGAGGCGCUGGCGAAACGGCGCACAGCCGCCAGGCCAUGAUAGAGCUCCUUCUAACAUGGUUAGAAGUUAGAGCGCGUCACGGUCCAUGCAGCUUUCGCCACCACCGACGCCCGCAGAAGCUUUGGCGCGCACAGUUGCUCCUCGACUUUCCUCCCGCUACGGAAAAGCUCGACGAGUGGAGAGCCACCAUCUGGAGCCUUGUUGGAAUUGCCAACAAAGAUGAGCCGCAACUAGCGGGACCCUCAGGCCGGCACUCCGUCGAGCCACCGCAUGCCAGUGGUGGAAGGACCGGAGGUGCUGCAGCCACGAUGCACUCUCCUCCUCCACGCCAGCCACUGUGGGUGCCGGUCCGUCGUGAUGACGCUUGUGAUAACAUCUCCAUAGCUUUGUCCGACCCACGGACCCACCGUGAUCAGCGCCGAGUUCUUCGGGAGCGAGCCCAUGAAGACGCUCGAACCACCAUCGAGCGUCGGCGCGAUGCACGCCACCAGUCAGAUAGGCGGGUGAGGCCCACUAUGGACAACCCAGCACCGGGAGGCUCUGGCGGCCUACCCUACUAGGUGGGUUGCCCAGCCUUUACCCGUGAGCUGCGGCAGUUCCAGUGGCCCUCCCACCGCACGUUCAAGCCCGACGUUGGCGAGAAGUACAAUGGCAAGACCCACCCGUCAGAGUUCCUCAACAUCUACACCAUCGCGGUGCAAGCUGCUGGAGCCUGCGACGACAAGGUGCUUGCCAAUUACUUCCCAUUGGCACUUAAACCCAAUGUUAUGUCAUGGUUGAUGCACUUGCCGGCGAAUUCCAUUUCUUCUUGGUCGGACUUGGGCCAUGAGUUCGUUGGCGCCUUCACCGGAGGCCACCAAGCUCAUGGCCAGGCAAGCGAUUUGCAUAUCAUCCCCCAGAAGGAAGGUGAAACCCUGCGCAAGUACAUAUAGAGGUUCAGCCGGGUGCAGUACAACAUCCCAGAUGUUCAUCCCACCGCCGUGAUCAGCGAAUUUCAUCAGAAUCUAUGCAAUCGCAAGAUGCGUGAAGAGCUGGCGAUGAACAAGGUCAAAGAUGUGGCCGAACUUUACAUUCUGGCCAAUAGGUGCGCCCGAUCUGAAGAGGGGAGGAAGUACCCCGGCGAGGACGCCGGUGUGGAAACCGACUCCACAGACGAAGACACAGCCACCCCGACGAAGAGGCAGUAGCAACGGCAGAACUGGCAGAUGGCAAGGUAAGGCCCCCGACAGAGUCUCACGCUGGCGGGACAGAGCCUGCGCAACCAAACGAAGUGGUGCAGAAGAAGAAAAUGAUGCAGCACCCGGUUUACCUUGUCAGCUCCCUCUUGCAAGGGGCUAGGUCAAGGUACUCCGGUGUGCAGAAAUUGCUCUUCGGCCUCCUUAUGGCCUCGAGGAAGCUACGUCAUUACUUCCAAGCACACGAAAUCACCAUCGUCACCCGCCUCCCGUUGCAACGGAUAUUGCAUAACCCAGACGCAACCGGGAGGAUUGUGAAGUGGGCCAUGGAACUGUGAAGCUUUGGUUUGAAGUUUGAAAGUACUUCGACAAUCCAGAGCAGAGUCUUGGCAGAGUUCAUUUCCGAGUGGACCUCAACGCCCGACGAAGAGAUCCAGGAGACCACCCUCCGCGGCAAGGAGGCAAGUUGCAACUGGAUUAUGUACUUUGACAGGGCUUUCUCGCUACAAGGCGCCGGUGCUGGUGUGUUGAUCAUUGCACCCACCGGAGAGCACCUCAAGUAUGUAAUCCAGAUGCACUUUCCUAGGAAGAUGUCCACGAACAACACUGUUGAAUACAAGGGGUUGCUUGUUGGUCUCAGGAUCGCAGCAGACCUCGGGAUCAAGAAGCUCAUCGUCAGGGGUGAUUCACAGCUUGUCGUCAGGCUAGUCAACAAAGAUUAUCAAAGCCCGUUGAUGGAGGCCUACGUAGAUGAGGUGAGGAAGCUGGAGGAGCGUUUUGACGGUAUACUGGCGCAGCAUGUUCCCCGAGUGGAGAACGACGUCGCCGACUACCUGUCGAAACACGCCGCCUUCAAACUACAUGUGGAACCAGGUACCUUUGUGCUUCGGUUGACUCAACCAUCUGUUGAACCAUCAACAGAGCAAAACAAGCGAAGGAAAUCAGGCCCCGACAAGUACUUUCCCGCAGAGCUCCCGAGAGCGGCCGACAAAGAUGUUACCGUGGAUGUUGAGCCUACCAUGGGACAACCGACUUCGGCGGGGCGUCAAGCCCUGGCUGUAGAGACAACCGCUCCCAUUGCAGAGGAAAUGCCUUUAGUCCUUGUCGUCGAGCCUCAGGCUCUGCAAUGGGCACAGCAUACCGUCCAAUUCCUCCAAACAGGGGAACUCCCUGAGGAGCAGGAAGAAGCGGAGAACGUAGCCUGUCAGUCUGCCAUGUAUCAGUUCGUCGACGACGUCCUGUACAGAAAAAGACCAAACGGUGUGAAAUUGAAGUGCAUUCCCUGGGAGGAAGGACUGGAGCUGUUGGCAGAGAUACACGGAGGCAUAUGUGGCUCCCACAUAGGGUCGAGGGCCCUUGUCGGCAAGGUUUCUUCUGGCCCACUGCCGUCCAGGAUGAAACGGCACUAGUAACCAAGUGUGAAGCGUGUCAAUUCCAUUCGAAGAAGCUUCAUUAACCAGCUCAAUCCCUUCAAACAAUUCCUCUCUUCUAGCCAUUUUCGGUCUAGGGGCUCGACAUACUGGGCCCCUUCCUACGUGAUGUCGGGGGCUUUGAGUACUUGUACGUUGCAAUCAACAAGUUCACAAAGUGGCCGGAGGUGGAAGCAGUAAGGAAGGUGACAGAGCAAUCAGCCGCCAAGUUCUUCAAGGGGCUAGUCUGCCGUUUUGGUGUGCCAAACAGAGUCAUCACCGGCAAUGGCACGCAGUUUACAAGCUACACCUUCAUGCAAUACAUCCAGGACCUCGUCAACAACGUCUGUUUUGCUUCCGUGACACACCCACGGAGCAACGGCCAGGAGGAGAGGGCAAAUGCUAAAGUACUACGAGGCCUGAGGACAAAGACUUUUGACAGGCUGCACAAGAGCGGGAGGCACUGGAUUGAUGAGUUGCCGGCGGUUCUUUGGUCAAUCAGAACGACGCCAAAUUGAGCCACCGGCUAGACACCCUUUGCCCUGGUAUACGGGGCAGAAGCAGUUCUCCCCACGGAACUCACGUACGGGUCACCUCGAGUGCUCUCUUAUGACAAGCUUGAGCAAGAGCAGUUGCGGCAAGAUAACGCAACGCUCCUUGAGGAAGAUCGUCUUCGGGCGGCUGUGAGAGCAGCGCGCUACCAGCAAGCCUUGCGCCGCUACCAUAGCAGCAAGGUUCAUGCCUAAAGCUUUGAGGAAGGCGACCUUGUUCUUCGGUGCGUUCAAUCAGCCAAAAAUUCCAACAAGUUGAUGCCGAAGUGGGAAGGCCCUUAUCGGGUAAUACGAGUCACCAGGCCCGGCGCAGUCCGCCUGGAGACCGAAGAUGCUAUUCCAGUGAGCAACUCCUGAAACAUCGAACAUCUUCGCAAGUUUUACCCAUAAGGCGCGGUUGUCACCCCCCCCCCCGGCAAGCCACCUUUUGUACAGGCCUUGCCAGCAAGGCAUGUAACCCUCUAUACAAAGCCAGGCGCAGACCCUAUGCCUAAAUAAAUGAAGCGCUGGCGCCCUAAGUUUUAGCAUGCAUGCUAGGUUGAGUCUCUCCCUCGGUUAGGGUUAAUAGUGCUUAGCGGUGGCUAACCCCUAGCAUAGAGGUCGAGUGUGCAUCUCUCUCUAUUCCUUUCCUUCCUCUUUGGUUCGCAGGGUACAUGAACAUUUUUGCUGAGCUAUUUGGAAGAAAGAGAACAGGCCGACGCCCCGACCCCGACAAGCCAAGGUUGCCGGGGGCUGUAGGUCUAAGGAUCCAAUCACGGCAAGCCAAGGUUGCCGAGGGCUGCAACAUCAGAUAAGUGUUUCUCCCCCACUCUGUGCCCCCGUAUGAACCUUGAACUUAUAAGGCUUCACUCGCUCUUGUACCAUCUUGCUCCCUCUGUCCCGUGUCCGAAAACCUUAUUUUGGGCCGGAACUUGGUUGUAGUGCAAUGGGAAGAGGGCGAGCGAAGGGCCUAAUCCUACUCGGCCCCUACCUCCGCCAAGGGCGUGAGUGUAGCUGAGCCAUAGAGCAGGAGGACGGGAAGGCCUGUUGCCGGGAUACAAUGUUUAUCUUAAGAUAACGAGGACGCGUUCCUCGGUGUGGCCCUCGCCCACGCGCAAACAAAACCCGGCAAACACCCUUCUUUUCAUUCAUACAUUGUAAACAAGUACAAUUCAUACGAAAUGAGUACACGAGCGAGGGGAAUACAAAGUCUAAAUUUUACCAAGGCCCGUAGGCUUACAAACUAAAAAAAGAUAAGUGCCCCGUGAUCCCCGUUCUUGCCCUUUUCCUCCCAGGUGCAGCAGGUGAAGGCAAAAGAGGGGCGAUGGGGAAUGCCCCGAUGGAGAGCUGGACGAGGAAGGCCCUCGACAGGGCACGUGGCCAAGGGAGGAGCGGCAUGGUCAGUCAGAGUCGGAGUCGGUGUUCCCCCACUCGACACCCUUGUCUUCAUUGUUGAUGUCCUCCUCGUCACUCCCUCUUGAGGAAGAGUCUUCGUCAUCGGAGGAGCUCUCCACGCAGCACUUUAGGCGAGUUCCAGAGUCUCCAAAGACCUUGACGGAGAGCAGGCCGUUCUCCAUUAAUUUGAAAUAGAGAACAAGCUGCCGUCAGGCUAUGGGUACAAGCAAAAGUCUUCCAUCCGCGAUGAAGGUACAUGACGUGAGGGGCAGGAAAGUCGACGUCAACCCGCAUGCCGCCGUUCCCGCAGCCCCUCAUAUGCAACCUUAGGGUCUGGGGAGGAUCGAGCUCCAUCUCCCGAGCGAAUGGAGCAGGGAGACGAAGGCGACGGUGCUGUGGCAAGUGCAGCCUGAUGAAGAACUCACGAGGCUGGUCCCCGACGUGGCCCUCCAUUGGGGGAGGCAUCGCUGGCGGAGGUAAGGCCGGAGCGCUGCCCCGUCCCCCUCUUCCCCAAGCUCCACGCCGACCUCGGCCUCGCCCCCUCCCCCUUACUCUCAUGGCUGGCUCUGCCGCCGCGAGCUCUUGGGAAGGAGGGACGCGCUGUCGAGCAGAGACCCUCGCCGCCACCGUCGAAGGGCCGGCGCCCCCUUUCGCCAUGGCAGAUGAAGGAACGGAGCUGAGGUGGAAGGAGAUGGAUGGUGAAAGAUUGUGGGAUGACAUCCCCCUCCCCCUUCUUAUAAAGGGGCAGGGUCGGGGCUCGGCCGCCCCACUCAGCCAAUCCGCCCAUCAGGGGCGCAGGGAAUCGAGACCGACCCGCUGCUCAAAUCAGCGACGGUCCAGUUUCUCNNNNNNNNNNNNNNNNNNNNNNNNNNNNNNNNNNNNNNNNNNNNNNNNNNNNNNNNNNNNNNNNNNNNNNNNNNNNNNNNNNNNNNNNNNNNNNNNNNNNNNNNNNNNNNNNNNNNNNNNNNNNNNNNNNNNNNNNNNNNNNNNNNNNNNNNNNNNNNNNNNNNNNNNNNNNNNNNNNNNNNNNNNNNNNNNNNNNNNNNNNNNNNNNNNNNNNNNNNNNNNNNNNNNNNNNNNNNNNNNNNNNNNNNNNNNNNNNNNNNNNNNNNNNNNNNNNNNNUGCCACCUUGGAGGCAUGGGGGACAUGUGGCGAGCAAGCAGAAAUCAAGGGGACGGGUGAAGUGACCGUUCUCCACCCUGUCAUCGUGGGGCGCGGGCGCGUUGAAGACCACGACCCGAGUCCACUUAGUAAAUGAGCCGCGCCUCUGCGUUUUCCUCUUUUUAUGGGGAAGGCACAUGCUGCCUCUUUACCAUUUACUGCGACAUGACGCAUGCGUGCGGAAAUCGCCCCACGCAGGACCCCCACGUCACGCAUGACCCUCCACGUCGCGCGUUCAACAUGGGUCAUGGGGAAGCGCAGCGAGCGAAGGAGUUACUACAAGUAAAAAUCUGCCCCGCCUGCCCGCGCACCAUUCUGGACCUGGCCCAACAACACGUCGCACUUAUGUGUGGCCCAGACCCGGGGGCUCCUGUCGGUGUACAAAAGUAUGGGAUUUCCUUUGUACCCCUUUACUUGUGCAUGGGCAGUCAAAGCCACGCCCGCGACCACACUGAGCAGGGCAAAGGAGGGAAGCCGGAGCAUGAGGCAACCGAACCAACGCCAAGGCCAGAGGCACAGAUAGAAAGAGGGCGAGGUGGACUCCCCCGGCAAUGCCCUUGCCGGGGCGGCCUCCGCAGCCCCGGCAAAAGCCUUGCCGGGCAACUUGCCCAAUGCCAGCAGAACACGCCGCCCUUGAGCCAAGGGGUUCCAACGCCAUCACCCACAUCGGAACCAAGGCUCGGGAGGCACCUCCAUGGUGGCAUGCAGAUCUUUGUGGAAAUCAUAAAUACACAAGAUCAGAUGAGGACUAGAAGAUGACGAUCCUUGGCAAGAUCCUUGCCAAGGAAAUCCAUGAGACCCCGGCAAGAUCCUUGUCGGGGACGACCGCGGUGCCACGGCAAGACCCUUGUCGGGCCCCCCGGCAAGACCCUUGCCGAGGACAUCUGUGGGGCCGCAUCCAGGCCCACAUCUGCCAAGACUCCACCACCACUCCCAUACAGCUGCUAGCUCAACCAGCUGGGCAGGCAUCUGCGUGGUAGCGUGCGGCCUCUACACUGACCCAGCAAGCACCUGUGCGGUGGCAUGUAGAUCUUCGUGAAGACUCCGCCACCACACCGGCCCAACAGCCAGCCAACAUGGCGCUACAACACCUCGUCAUCUCGGACGCAUGUCGGGGCCAGGCGAGGCGGCAAUAGCUGGGACGAGCUUCCUUGCCGUCCCCGAUAAAGCAAGAGGGGCACGUCGGCAGCGCAUUAAAUGUGUUUGUCCGACAGUGCAGACGAUAGACUCAGCCACUAUACACCUUUCCACCUCAUGUGUGCCACUGUGGCGACCCCUUUUUGGCUAUAAAAGGAGGCCUGAGGCGUACUGGAGAGGGAUUCGGAUCUUUGGAACUAGACACACACCAUAGCUAGUUCAAGAACUCAAGAACACUCUAAUAUACGUCAAAGUGGGACUAGGGUUUUACACGUCUCCAUGGCCCGAACCUGGGUUAACAGUCCUUGUGCUGACCACCAGACCCGCUCUUUGCACAACCCCGUGCCUGCCAACCGUAGAAGGGAUCCCAGUGAUUCCAUAGGUGUUGUUUCCAUCGACAAUAGUCUAGGGAUAUGUGUAUGUUACUAGUGUACUACUCUCCAUUGUGGCUAGUCUCAUACUCCCUCCUUUCCGGUUUAGGCUGGUUGUAAUGGUAUUAUCAUAAGUGGUAUCAUGCAUGCCAACUAGACUUUCUGGAUGAUGUGGCACACAAGAGAGGAUGUGGUAUCAUAUCAUGAUACCGUGUCAUAUUAAAUGUUGUACUACUACUUUGUGUGAUGCAUGACAAUUAGUAAGGCAACCUAAGAUGUUAACUUAUGAUACUAUGCAUUACGGAAGUAGUAUCCUAGCUACACUAUCAUAUAUAUGCAUGCAUGAUACUACUAGUAUAUAUAAUAUUCCCCAUUACAACCAGCCUUAUAGGGCUCAAUUCAUAAAUACGGUCAUCUAUGAUAUAUACUCCCUCCGUAAACUAAUAUAGGAGUGUUUAGGUCACUACUUAGUAAUCGAAACGCUCUUACAUUAGUUUACAGAGGGAGCUAGUACUACUCUAUGAUACUAUAUAUGCACUAUGAAGGUACGUACAUAGUACCAUACACUAGUAUCAUAUGCAUGAUACUAUAUAUAUAUAUAUAUAUAUAUAUAUAUAUAUAUAUAUAUAUAUAUAUAUAUAUGAAACUCCCCACUAUAUAAGGCUGGCCAUAGUGGCCGACGAUGUCAUACACUCGGAAAUAGCAAGUAUGCUGAUGUGACAAAGAAUUAAAUAUAUAUAGAGAGGGUUAGAGUAACAUAUAGUAGGUAGAUACCGUAUCAUGUUAAAUGCGAUGCUAAUUUGUGUCAUGCAUGGCAAUAAAUAUGAUAUAUAUAUAUGAUACUAUACUCUCUGUAUUAUACUAUAUGCUAUAAUUAAUUAAAGGUAGUAUCAUACACUAGUAUCAUAUGUAUUGUAUAUUCAUGAUACUAGUAUAUGACACUCUCCACUAUACUUAUGAUUUCUUACCAUGGAAAAAACUUGGAGGCGAAACGAUGAACUCAUGUUUUCAUUCAAACAAAAAUAUGAUGUUGGGUAAUGUAAAUGUUUUCAAAGAGCACAUGGUUCACUCAUGAAAGCCGUGUGUCCACUAAACCAUGGCCAAUGCACCCCCCACCCCUCUGCCACGUGUGCGAUCUGAGUUGUGCGUUCUAAUUGGCUAGAACCCAAACCCCACUGAUCGUACGUCUGCACCAUUGGAUUCUCCUUGAUCGAACGGCGAUCCUCAUCCCUUUCGACAACACAUGUACAUGUUUUCAAAUAGCCUCUCCCCAAAAAAUGUUUUAAAAUAGCACACGGUUCACACACGUAAGCCGUGUGCCUACCAAACCGUGGCCGAUGCCCCCCAUCGCUGCGCGCGCGAUCUGAGUCGUGUGUUCUGAUUGGCCAGAACCCAAACCCCACGGAUUGUACAUCUGCACCGUUGGAUGCUCCCAGAUCGAAAGGCAAUCCUCAGCCCUUUCGAUAGGAAAUGCAGUCCGGCUAGGAAUUGAUUUAUAUGCCAACAUGCACGGUAAAUGCCAAAAAUGUCUUACAUAUAGCACACGAGACCUGAAAUGCACCAGCAAAUCAAACCCGUGGUAAAAUUGUGAUUGGUUUACGUGCGAAAAAUUUAGAGGAGAAAUGAUGAACUCACGUCUUCAUUUCAAAAUUAGUACGUCUUCAUUUCAAACGAAAUUAUUCUGUUUGUGCACACGAGCGCUUAGAGGCAACCGUUUGCAUAGGCCUUUCUGCGCUCGGCAACCGGGGAUAUUUUUCACCCUUUUCACCUAGGCCGUAACACCCCUCCCCCCACCGUCCGCCCACGUUUCACUCAACUAGUCCACCCAAUCUCCUUCGCCAGCUCCCCCCUCCCCCAGAUCCACAACAGAACCCUCUCCAGUGCCGCCAUGCUCACCCCAGCCGUGUGCCCGCUCUUCGGCGUGAAGCCUACCUCCACUGUCGUUCCCAACACGCGGCGGCCCGCGCCUCGCCAUCUUUGUUUGCUCGCCAUCCACCCUCGAGCAAAUCGAUGCCGUAACCCUCGCCUCUCCUCUGGUCCGGCCGGAUUUGCAUUAAGAAGCCUGUUAGUUACUGCUCUCCAUCACGGUGAGGCAUAUUUCCUCGCAAUCCCUUUUCCAAUUUUGUUCUGUAUGUUCCCAAAUUGGCUAUAAAUAAUGGAGAGCAUAUAUAUGUUCAUUAUCUACCUUCCUUACUACAUAUAAGUUGUAUUUGUUCAAAUAAGUUACUGCCUAUUUGCAGAUCGCGAGCACCCGAGUCACACAAACUUAACAAAUUAGUCGUACAUUUUCUAAAUUAUUGCAUGGCAUGUUUAGAAACCUUGAUACCAAGUUGUUAGUUUUCUGCUUAUCCUCCUUUCCUGAGUUUUGCAUGUGUUCUCUGUAGAUGCCGAGUAGCAGCGACAACACUCAUUCAGGCCAUGUAUCUUCAUCUGAUUCGGACAACCCUAGGUCUUCAGCAGAUUGUAAGGGAUCAAGUAGUCUUGAACAGGCUAGAGCUGCAGCAAUUACCCUUCCGGUCAGGACAUGGAGGAACGCUCCAAGGAAGCCCACACACCAGCCUAAAGGUGUAUAUGAAGUAACCGAGAUUGAUUUAAAGUCCUGGGCUCCAACUAAACCAGAUAAAGCACGCUUGAGGUUCAGGAGUGUGUGUGGAUUUGUUGGCAGGGCCAACAUUAAUCUUUCGAGGUUUCAGAAGGCUGACACGGAAACACGACGAAGGAUAGUCUGGGAGAUCAUGGAUCACUUCAACGUUCCAAAGCAAUGGAGAAUGCAGGUGGAACACGCUGCACUGAAGAAGGCUAGGGAUGCUUGGAGAAACUGGAAGCACGUGAUGUACAAGAAGUACUUGACUGAAGGCAAGGACCCAAUUCCUACAUACCCCCAAAUUACAAAGGCAGAUUGGGCAUAAUUCAAAAGGGUCAGGGCAACUCCAGAGUUUGCUGCGAAGAGUAUCAAGCAAACGGAACUUCAGAAGAAGAACAUACACCCCCACCGUAUGGGUGUGGCAGGAUACUACGGCAUGAAACUGAUAUGGGAACAUGAGGGCAAAGAAGCAGUAGCGGCAGGUGGGAAUCCGGCCUUUAGUGAAAUCAAGGGCGAACGCGCCAGAGACUACUUGCGGGCACGUGCAAAGAGGCGUGAUGAUAGAACUUAUUACUUUGAAAACGCACGUGAUGCCAAACUGUAUGAAGUGAUGGUAGAGGCUUCCAAGAUCCCUAGAAGGUUCUACAUGAACUCAGGGCCAUGUGACAUUCUGUCCAUUGCUCUGGACACAAAAGAGCCCCCUGGCCGUGCAAGGGUAUAGGUGUUAAUGUCCCGCACAAGAGGGCUUUCACACUCAGCAAAGAAGAGAGGCUCAGCAUGAAAAAAAUGAGGAGUAAAAUGAAGCAGAAUGCAUUGUUUGAAAAGUUAAAGAAGGAGAUUUAUCCGGCUGUUCGAAAGGAUGUUGAGGAGUCAAUGAUGAUGUAGAAGACUCUAACAUUGACAAAUAGCCAGCAGAUGGGAGGGGAGGCGGGCAUGGAUGAUGUUUCUUAUUGCGUGACAACACUGCACAAGGGUAGCUGUGCAUUAGCUGACCCCAGCAACACUGAGACUGCAGCUGCUCGUGAUGAUGCUAUAUCUGAUCUAUCUGGAAUGAAAGACAGACUGAAGGGCGUGCUUACACAUUAUGAAGGUACAUUAAAUUGUGCAACAGCCUGGGUUUGCCCACCCUUCUUGGAAGGUGGCUUCUUCUUGGACAAUGUGCCAUUGAAGCCGGGCUGUGUGAAGUGCUACGUGACUGAAGUAAAGUCUGGAUUCAACGAAUUUGCUUUGAAGAAUGUCCUAGGAGACUUCGAUAAGCAAAGGACCUUGGGAGAAACACUGUUACAUCACAUCCAGUGGCCACGAAAGGAAACGGAGUUCAUUGAUGAGAUUCCUGAAGCCCCGCCAAGAGAAACCACUGUCGCCCCUCAACCCGUGACGCUCUCCUUGCCCGAGCAGCUCUCGCGGGCUGAUGCAUCAACCUGUGAUCAGCCGGACCGACUUUGUGGCGUACAGGCCAUGUCAUCCUCCACCCCAAAGCAGCCAGUGGAAAGGCCUACAACUGCUGAUGACGCACCACCGAUUCAUAUGCCGGCCACUGAAGCAGCGGGAGGAGACCCAGCUGCAGCAAAUGCUCAGCAGACCAACCUGGUGGAACAGACUGCUAAGCAGUCUGAUGCUUCGGAACCGCCUGCUAAGAAAUCUGUAGGUCCAGAACUGACUGCUCAUCAGUCCGUCGGUUCGCAGGUGCAUGAUUAGCAUACCAAUGCGUCAGCACUUCCUGCUCAGCAAACCAACGCGAUUGCACAGCCUCCUCAGCACACCGACAAGUUGGCACCACAUGCGCAGAAACCUGACAUAGCUUCAACGCAUGGUCAGCAGUCUGAUGCCUCUGCUCCUACAGCCCAGCAGUCCAUCACAACAGCACCGCCAGCUCAGCGGUCCGGCAUAGAUAAACCGUCUGCUAAGCAGUCCGUCCAAGCUUCAUCAUCUGCUCGGCAGUCUAUCGUGCAGGCAACCAGACGUUCUGCCAGAAAUGCUUCAAGUACCAAGAAGGAAGUGGCCAAAAAGGCUACACCCACGACCACGAGGAAGCGCAGCGGGAGAGUGAAGAGGAAAGAGAACGAUUGCCUCUUACUUAAAGCACUCAUCGCCCAGAACCAAAUUAACAGCAGAUUGUUCGAAUCAGGGAGUAAUAUUAUUUUUGACGCCAUGGGUGAUGAAGAAGUAUGUUUGUUGCUUGCUAAAAAUAAAGCAGUCAUACUUGAAGCACGCAAUUACGUCCAUGGUCAGCCAUUUCUUAUUGGCGAAUACUUUGAUGAGUGCAGCUCCAGUUGCCGCGAGUUACAUCAAUAUUGCAUGGAUCAAAUGUCAGAAGGUCAUCACCAUUUGCUAGUCCACUACAACAGAGAUCAUUUCCGACACGAUGCUGGUUCCAUCAUUGUGAGUUUCGAGGACUUACAUCUCUUCUUCAACUUCAACGUGCUCGAUGCCACUCUUGUUAGAUGCGUGAUUUUUGAAGUACUUAGCAAACUCUGAUCAAAUUCUCCAUACAAGGUUGUAAAUGAUAAAUAGCUAACUGCAUUUUAUUCCUCUCAAGGGAUUGAACGUGCAGAGAAGACAAAGUGAGAAUGUGUAUUUCAUAGAUCCUGCAUUAGCAAAUGGCACAACAUUACAUGAAAAGGACCGAUGGGACUGGGCCGUUAACAUGGUCAUCCGUAUCUUCAAAAACACGUCUCAUGCAGAAUCAUUUCUCUAGACAUAUCAUGAAUGGUAAGUCAAGUAAACAACCACGCAUACACUAAUUGUCUUUCAUAUUUCAACAUCAUUCGUAAAUUCAUGGCUUUCUUAAUAUGUAGCAAUCACUGGAUAUUGGUAUUCAUUGUUCCAAACAAGAACACAGUUUACUACAUCGAUUCUCUCAGAGAGUUAACAAACGCUCAGGAUCUGACACAUCUUCAGCAAUUCUUGGAUAGGUAUUGAAUUCUAUGAUGUUGAAAUUAAUUUGCAUUCAUAUCUGGUUCAAUAAUUGAUGUUGUCAAAAUUCAUCAUCAUUUGCAGUGUGCUCGCAUUGUGGGAAACUAAAAUAGGGAACCUGUUCAAGAGGAAACUACCUCUGCAGCACGAGAUUGUUUCUCCGGUAACACACCGAAAUCCAUUAUUUUCGAAAAAUUUAUCCAACAGUCUGCAAAUACCUUUCCUUACGCUAAUCAAAUGUUCAAGCUUCUAAAUAAACCUCUUUCUAUUUUGUCCAGAGAAAAAAAUAAUACAUCUAACACCGGUUAGAUUGUUCCUAACAGGACAAAUACAUGACUAAUUUUGUACAAAAAAUUUCAGUGUCCUCAGCAAGAAGCAGGAACCAACCUUUGUGGAUAUUAUGUUUGCAGACACACGAUCUCCAUCUACAAAUUUGUUGAUAGUUGUGACGAUCCUUACGAAUUAGUACCAGUAAGUCUAUCUUAAUUAAUAUCUUCUACUCCACUCUUAUGGCACAUUCUGAUCUUAAAAAUACUGCAGCUCAUCUUAAAAUCGAGGACCCAUGAACCGCUCCCGGCUGGUGAAUUGCUGAUGGUUCAGAGAUUUAUCAGCGACUUCUUCCUGGAUCACUACAUCAAUCCCACUGGUGAUAAUGAAAAUUUCAGCAUGCGUUCUCCUGAAACAUUGAGUAAGAGUUAUCCGCUAAACAUAUAACGCAUGGACCCAUUGUUUUCCAUCUGAUGAGGUCUUCCUAUUUUGUACACUAUGAUUAAUUAUGUAAUGCAUAUAUGUGUGGCCAAAUCAUUGGAAUUUAGCUACCAUAUGUUCAAUUGCAAUUGCUGCGAAAUCUGAUGAAUGUUCUUCCUGUGGACACUAUUUGUUCAAUUGAAUAUUGUGGUGAAUUUGCUUUUUGCGUGCGAUUCAAAAUGGGAUAUUUUUGUUUAUUUGUUCAAUUGAAUAUUGUGGCAAAUUUGCUUUUUGCGUGUUGAUUCAAAAUGGGAUAUUUUUGUUUUAACCUGGCAAUUGCUCCGCACAUGGUUCAACUAAAUGAGUGUGUGCGAUCCACAUCGAAAAGCAUACGUCAAUCGUAGCGGAACCGUCGGUGAUACACAGCAGAUCGCAAACGAUUUGCAAUGCUACUACGUGUGCAUAGGUUCUCUGGAACCGCUUGUGAUAUCGCGUUAUCGCACACGAGAACUGGGAGUAAACCGUGCCCAAUGCAAAAUACAAUCCCAGUCGUAUUUUGUUAGGAAACGUGUGGGAUCCCAAACGAAAAGCACAUGUCACUCUUACGGCAACCGUCAGUGAUACCUAACAAAUCACAAACAGUCUGCAGCACUUGUAUGUGUGUGAAGGGGCUCCUGAACCGUUUGUGAUAGAACAUUAUCACAGACGGUAAUUGUUGGAAAACAUGUGCAAUGGAGUCUAGCAUGGCAGACGGGUUACGCAAAAAACUCAUGUGCGACAGGGCACAAAUCGCACACAGUUCAUAUGUUGGCCCGUGUGCCUUACAUACUGUUUCCCAAACGGUUCGUUACGACAGACCUUAUGGUUUCACUGCGUCAUUAGAAACGCUUAAUCACCGAUACCACACGUGCGAAAGAAUUUAGUGUGUGCUGCAUCACACACGAUUACAUUUUGGAAGGCCUCUGGAUCACUGUUCCAUAUCCCCGACGGUUUCUGGGUCGUGUGGGAAGGACUCCCUAUCGCACACAAUCACUUGGCGACGGUUCCGAGGCCGUCACGGAAAGGGGUUAAAAAUCGUUUGUUUAGGAUCGACGCGCACCAGUGCUCCCUCCCAACGUCUCCAUUAAUGGCGCCCAAGGCCAUAUUCUACGGCGUGACUAUACUCACUGGACUGAGAUUUAAGAGAGAAAAUGAAAAUCUGAAAAGAAAGUUUGCAUGGGUCUUGAUGUAAGAUCCGAUGGACCUAUAUAGCAUCCACUGCGACUUAUAGCAAGCAUGCUGAAUAUAAAGGACGAUGAUAGUGGAUAAUAAUUGUCUUACAUAUUUAGGAACAUAAUUAAAAUCCCCGCAAAAAAGGAACAUAAUUAAAAAAAGCCACAUGCGGCAACACCCGAAAUACACAAGGGCAAAAGAAGAAGGAAGACAACGAUCUGGCUCGUUGAUCUCUACUUUCUUGAUGCAUUGCUGCAGGCUGUAGGAACUAGUCUGUGAGGCGAGCGGCGAUGAGCUCUUUCUUGUCCUCAAGAUGCUGCUUGAGAGCAUCCACGGAUUCCUCCACCAGCCUUCUGCGCUUGAUGCACAGCAUGGCAUCCUCGUCCAUAAAUUUCUCGACGAUGAUGUCGGCCCUCUUCAACAAGGCAGUGGUCUCCUCUUGCUACUCCGCACUUCCAACGAUCUUCGCCCUCAGCAGGUCACCCUCGGCCCGGAGCUUCGCAUUGCUCCCAUUUAGUUGCUGGAUGACACCGGUAGCCUGUUCAAAAGAGGCUUUCAUGUUGUCCUGCAACCUCGCCCAGCCGGAGAUCUGAUACAUCUGGCCAUGGACGAUCGCAUGCAUGCGCCUGUAAGAGUCCUCGCCUGCCCGCGAGACAUUUUCCCAGGCCACCACAGCGCGGGAGGACAUCUCUGCUGCAUUUGCGGUGCGGCGGGACAUCUCUUCUGCUUCCGCAGCACGGACGGACCAGUCUGCCGCAUCGACGACACAGUGGGACCUGCGUGCUGCUUCGGUGGCGUGGCGGGACCUCUGUGCGGCUACGGCCGCACGGCGGGACAUGCCGGCUGGCUUCACAGCGAGGCGGGACAUCUCUCGUGCUUCCGCUUUCAUGCUCACAUCUCUCUGGUGGUAAUCUCUCGACCCAGAACUCACGCUGGCCAUGGCCGGCGCAAGGGAACGAUCAUGAAUGACUUGUUUGUUUUAGUGGAUGAGGAAUUGAGGAGGAAUGUGCAGUCAUCUUAGAGUAGUUCUCCCUCUGUCCCAUAAUGUAAGACAUUUUUUGACACUACACUAGUGUUAAAAAAUGUCUUACAUUAUGGGAUGGAGAGAGUAGUAUUUAUAACCGAGUACAAAUACGCUCCUAAGUGGGAAGCCGUUUAGGUUUUGAUCGAUGUGAACGGGUUUGCAAUUUGGAAUAUGACGGGACGCAGGCUCAAAAUUUACUGACGGUUAUAAGUGCGGCACUAUUCUCGGAAGGCAUAACGUGGGCACGUAUGUCUUCUUGGCCGCGUACGUGGCGUUUGCACCAUAGGAUGCACCAUAAUAGGUAAUGUCAACACAUGUCUUGUUCCAACAACCGUGCGUGCUUGUGAUUACCAUCGCGCACACUUCUUUUAAUUAGAAUAUGUGUGCACGUGUAGCGCACACACGUUGAUCUAUCUAUCUGUUUCAGUUUGGUGUGGCUAAUCGCAAACAAUUCAUCCGUGUGAAGUGUAUGCCAUCAAUCGCAGACACUUUGAUCUGGCUGACCCAUUUCUGUUCUGUUGCCUAAUCGCAAACAGUUAAUCCUUCUGAAGAGUAUGCCCUCAAUGGCACGCACCUUUAUCUAGCUACCCGUUUCUAUUGUUCCUCCUCAUCACAAACAGUUCAUCGGAGUAAAUCGUAUGCUGCAUAUCACACACGCCGUCAUGUGGCUUCCCGUUUCUUUUGUUCCGCCUCAUCGCAAACAGUUCAUUGAAAUGAACCAUAUGCCCUGCAUCGCACACGCAACUAAAAUCGGAACUGUGUUUGAUGGCUCCGCCAUCGCAAAUGUUUUGCACCUUUUUUGACGGUUCUUUUACACCACCAUUUGUGAUUAUUGCAUCGCACACAGUUUCGUCGAAGGGUCUCUGAUCGUAGUGUCGCAUUAGCAGCAUCCUGCAGUAGUGACAAAGUAAAUCCAAUCAAUAUGAAUAAACUCCAUCAUUUUAUCCUUAAUGACAACGAUACAAAUACAUGUCAUGUCCCCUUCUGUCACUAGGAUUGAGCAUCACAAGAUCGAACCCAUCACAAAACACCUCUCCCGUUGCAAGAUAAAUCAAUCUAGUUGACCAAACCAAACGGAUAGAUCAGAGAGAAAUACAAAGCUAUAACAAUCAUGCAUAAAAGAGUCCAGAGAAGACUCAAAUAAUAUUCAUGGAUAAUCUGAUCAUCAACCAACAAUUCACCGGAUCCCAACAAACACACCGUAAAAAGGAUUACAUCGAAUAGAUCUCCAAGAACAUGGAGGAGAACAUUGUAUUGAAGAUCAAAGAGAGAGAAAAGAAGUCAUCUAGCUACUAGCUAUGGGCCCGUAGGUCCGUGGUAAAGUACUCACACAUCAUCGAAGGGGCAUCAAGGUUUUUGUAGAAGCCCUCCGUGAUCGAUUCCCCCUCCGGCAGACUACUGGAAAAGGCCUCCAGAUAGGAUCUCGCGAGAACAGAAGCUUACGACUGUGGAAUAAGUGUUUUGGGUGGCUCUCUGUUGGUUUCCCGAUUGUAGAGAAUUUAUAGAUGCGGAAUUAGGUCAAAUGGAGCAAUGAGGGGCCCAUGAGGCACCAGGGCGUGCCUACCGCUUCGCCUUAUGACUUCCUCCCGGAGCUUCUAGUGUCUCUUAUGUCCAGAAAAAAGCGUCAAAAAGUUUUGUGACAUUUGGACUUCAUUUGGUACCGAUAUCCUAGAAAAUCAAAAACAUGCAAAAAAACAGCAACUGGCACUUGGCACUAAGUUAAUAGGUUAGUCCCAAAAAAUGAUAUAUAAUUGUAUAUAAAACAUCCAAGAUUGAUACUAUAAUAGCAUGGAACAAUAAAAAAUUAUAGAUACGUUGGAGACGUAUCGGUACACAAGGCCCUUCCACCUCCCAUGGCCUACUCGUCCUCGGAGGAGUCCGCGACUUGCCCGUCGCUGGUGGACGUGAGGUCCACGAUGGAAAUGGUAGCGUCGGCGUUGUCAUCGUCCCACAGGGCCGCCUGAUAGUUCGGCGGUGGCGCGUAGGAGGCACAACUAGCAUUGUUCUCCUCCGCGGUCGCCUGCAACUAGCGUUGUUCUCCUCCAUGAUCGCAUGUAGCUGCGCCUCUGCGGUGGCCGCUCCUUGGCGGGCGGCGACAUGAGCGUGGAUGAUAUCGUAGAUGGCACGCUGCUCCGCGAUGAAGUUGGGGUUCGCCACGGUCAUGGCCGCCACAGCCUCCUCGAUCUAGCCCACUGCUAGCUAGUGCUGCUCCAAGAGGAACAGGUUGUACCGAUGUUCGUCUUGCGCUUGCUGGAACGCCGACAAAGUUGCUGCUCCAUGGCGGUGUUGUAGUGCGCUUGUGCUUGCUCCAUGGUGAACCCGACAUGCACAGCAGGCGCGGCAGCCGAGGCGGUAUCGUCGGAGCCCGUCUCCAUCGUGGGGUCGUCCUCGUCCUCGAAGACCUCGGGCGAUCCGGUCGGCAAGCCGGCCCUAAUCUGCUUGGCAUGGCAACUCUGCCAGGUGGCAACAAGGGCGGCCAGCGCGUGCUUCAUCUCAGUGGAAAGACUCUCCCACAGAGCUUCGUCGCCUGCAGUCAUGGCAGGUGCAGUGCAAGGGAGGAGGAUGUGGAGCGGCUUGUGUUGUGGAGUGGAUGGACGGGUGUGGCCGCCUUUAAAUAGCGGAUUCCUGCAAGGCCAUGCAUCCGGGUGCAUCAAUGCGCGAUGCCGGAGUGGAUUUCUCGGCCGGCGAGCCUGCUUAAUGGUAGCAUAUGAAAGGACGGAGCAUUCAACGGCCGUGGUAGAUAUCCGUCCUGUCCUAUACAGUCACACGUCUACGGCAUUGAACAGGUGCCGACACCAGAGACGCGUCGCGGGCGGCAUCCUCGGCCGACGCGCCGCUUCAAUGGUCGAGGCAGUGAGAGGUCGCGUCCGUCCUGAAUAAUUUUUAAUGUGGAGCGGUGCGCUCUACAGCGGCAUGAAUGCGGGCAGCUGGCGCCGAAAAGGAACGCACGUAGGGGAGGGAGGAGGGCUUUGGGUGGGCCAGGGCGGCCAGAAGCGGGCUUGGCAGUGGUCUGGAUUCCGGCAAAGCCUCCACGUUUGUCUCCGGUUUGCGGAAAAUACGUCUAGACCACGCUGUGGACCGAUACAUGACCGUGCUGGAUGAAUUUCGUGGUCCGAACCGCUCGUCGUAUGUGGAUGGUUUGCGGGUCGGCAUUGGAGAUGCCCUAACACCGUUUCAAUAUAUUUCAUUUCUGAUAAAUUCGCAGAAAUAAUCUAUCUUUGUUUUGAACUGAUUUAUCUAGCAGUUUGCCGCAAAUAAAAACAAAAAAGCAAGCACACGCAGUUGCACGGGUGAAUGAUCAGUUUUAAAAAUUACUAGUAGUUUGUUUAUCUUUUUAUAAAAGCUUAUUUUCACGUGGUGAUGCCCAGCCCUAUCUUGACCAUGACACCAAACGAGCUCUAUGGAGUUACGAUGUCGCCAAAAUGAGCUCAUCCUGUCAACGUUCCGCGCACAAGUCGCCCCACAGGGUGCCAGGUCACUCUGCAAACCUUGUUAAAACACCAGACCCACGUACACGAUGUUCUCCGGGCAGGAACAGAGCUCCAGCGCAAGGGCAAGGCUUCGCCAUGGCUAGCUACGUUCCUCACAUCUGGCUCCCGCGACGGCCGUGGAGCAGCAGCUGCACCAGUUCAUAUCUCGCGCUUCGAAUUUCUACACGAGAAUCACAGGUACACAUACAUACUGGACUAUAUUCUUUUACCGAAUGCUCUUUUCUGUUCCGUACUUCCGUACAUGUGUUAAUUUUGUAGAGAACUAAGUAGUAGUGGUAUCAGUAUGGCAGUCCGGCUGCAUGGAGUAGUCUCGGAGAUCCUCUUCCCAUUCCUCCGCCCAGCUAGCCGUCACAUGAUUGACCCCUUCCCCCACAGUGCCUGAAAUUCUGACUUGGGGCUGAGAGCAGAUGCUUACGGGGUUAAUUUCUCAGUCUUGCUAUUCGAAAGUGCAUCUUGCCAUUUGAAAGUGCAUCUUGAUCUCAUGUAGUCGACCGCGAUACCAUACGGGUAUCGGCGCAAGAAACUGAAACCGGCACCAUUUCAAAAUUACCUCAUGAGAACCUGAAAAUCAACUAGUAUGAUGCAAAUAGUGAUUAGUGAACUAAGAAUUGCAAAAAAAACCCUGAAAAACUGGCGAUAGAAAAUAGGAGAGAAACCUUAGACAGAAAAGGCGAAGAAAAAAAAUAGAAAGGAUAAAUUGGCGUACUGCACUCGCUCGAGGGGAAGGGACGAUUACAGGUAGUUCAAAGUCUGAGGAACAGUUAUGGAGCCGACUUUGGAAGCUGAAUGUUGGGCCGAAAGUGUGGGUUUUGUGGUGUGGCCACACUGAAGCAUCGACACAUCAAAGAGCCGAGCAUGUGUAGUAUUUGCCUCGCAAUGGAGAGAAAUUUGAUACAUGCACUAGUGUCCUGUGAACACGCUAGCGAUUGUGGACUGGAUCAAAACCGGACUUGAUCAAAACCUUCAUUACAAUUGAAGUUGCCAAGGCUGCAUCUUGUUACUUGGGCCAAGGAUUUUUCUUGUGACUAAAUGUUUUCAAAGGAAGACAGAGGACAUCUUUUGGUAAACAUUUGGUCCUUCAAGUCUCAAAACCGGAUAAGUUUGGUCCAAAACCAGAUUUUGACCAUGUGGACCGGAUUUGACCACCUUGACCGGGUUUGACUGAUGAACAAUAAUUCAAAAAAAAUCAAGAAAAUAUGAAAUUUUGUGGUAACCAAGAUGCUUGGGUGUGCUAGGUGCGUGAAAAUUUGUGUGGUGUUUCGACAUGCGAGGAGCUCGUGAAAAAACUACAAAUUUUGGCUCACAAAAAAACUUUUUUUUGCGAGAGCUCCUCGGAUGUUAUUUGACCACAAAAGUUUACAUGCACCUAGCGCACCCAAGCAUCUUGGUUGUCAAAAAAAUUCGUUUUUUUCAAUUUGUUUGCUAUUUUUUAAAAUUUACUAUUCAUUGGUCAAACCUGGUCAACAUGCUCAAAAUCUGGUUUUGGACCAAACCUAUCCGGUUUUAAGACUUGAAGGACCAAAUGUCUACAAAAAAUCUUGAGGGACCAAGUUUAUACUUUUGAGGAACUUGAGUGACCAAAAACAUACAUUUUCCUUAUUAUUAUGUGAGCUAUCUCAUCUUCUAGGAAUCGUUGGACUCAUAACCAGAAGGCCUUCGAUCCACGAGUGACACUGAAGUGACAUUGGUCCAGAACAGUGUUGCGGCCGCUUGAUUCAGGUUGGGUGAAGAUUAAUACUGAUGGAGCCAUAGUAGCUGAUGAGCGCAAGGAGGAGGUGGAUGGGUUGCUGGUUCACAAAUUUCAUAUCUUUGUACUUGGUUUAACCCUAUAUCGGGGUAACGGAUCCUCUCAUCAUAGAGCGGUAGCUCUCCAGGACAGAGUUUAUGUUUGGCAAGUUGUGGGACUUCACCAAGGUAGUAUAAAUACGAACUAUCUUGAGGUGGUCAGCCUCUGAAAUUCUCGCCAUAGUUCUUGGUCAACUGCGUCUCCUAUAUUCUUAAAAAUUGGGGAGUUUGCUUCUGGUUAUUCUUCAUUUGUUAUUCAAAAUGUCCGUAGGACUGGGGACUACAAAUAAGCCGGGUCAUCUUUUUGUGUUAUGCGCUUGCACCAAACAAUAGGAUGUUGUAUGCAAUGAUACUCGUGCAAGUUGCUCAAGUUUGAUCCUCCCAUUUCAAUUGCGAAGGACUAACUUGUAGACUAUGUUCUUCAUGGUCGUUAUUACGAGCUUUUUUAUUUCUUAGUCCAGUCCUUGCUCUUAUCCUUCUCCUUGAUGACGAUAAUCAUUAUGUUUCUCUUUGUGGUGGCUGGGGACAAUGCAACAUAGAGCAGACCAUGAGAGAACACCAUAUCAAAUAGAUACUUGAGACAAUCAGAAGCUGCUUCCUCUUGAAUUUGAAUGAGAACAUGUCGUCGUUGCAGGUCGGAGAAGUAUCCAAGGAAGGACCCCCCCCCCCCUACCGAUGUGUUGUGCUAGCACAAUUUAUGUGUGAGACAUGUCACUCUAAAAACCCAGACAAUAAACCUCGUGUCAUCACACGGUCCAUCAACUUGAUCGCUCAGUGGUAUAACACGACAAUUUAUCUUCAAAGCACAUGUAAAGGUAGCCUGUUGAGAGUCAACGAGUUCAGGAACUCAAGAGCACAAUACUCGUCCUUCGCACUAUCAAAGUUGUGGUAGAUUACCUCUUCACCCGAAAGCGCUUAAUCAUUCAUAUAUUUAUCUCUUCAAUUGUCAUGCUUCUCUAGCACAUGUAGAUGAUACCAUUUCACAUUAAUUUUUACAUAUUCAACAAGCAAAAGUGCACUAAAAUAACUUUGGGCAACCAAGAAAAAAGUUCACAUAUAUCUCUCAAAUGUGCAAUUUCCUCCGGUUAACAAUUCCAUAUACUUGAAAGAAAGUGAAAACACCCUAUAACAUGAGACAAUUCAACAAUACAAAAUUAAAAUGUGUAUUUGUUAGAGUGUGUGUUAUGGGUACACAUAUGAAAUCUUGAUAUCCUCCUCCUGCUCAGUAUGCUUGUGCAUAGAUUUUGAGUGCUCGUUGUUGCUUGAAGAUUUGUAUGAUUGCUUAAGUGUAAACCCAAUGUCAAGAAAAGAGUCUUGCACAAUGUAUAUUUGAUUUGAUUUCUAUUCUUGCUCCAUACUUUUUGUUAAUAUGUCUACGUGCUUUAUAUUAACCAAUUUGAUUUAAACGUCAUGUUGUGGAUGGUAGUAGUAUGUAUAAGAAACCCUUGAAAAUUGUGUUGAUUCUUACAGUUUUCAAUACAACCUAAGUUGUACGUGAUGCAUAAUGAUUGACAUGUAAACUUGGGAUACUUUUUGAACUUGUAACUUCGAGGGAACAUGAGUAGUAAUAUAAAUCUACUCAUCGGGGUUGCGUUAUUUAGACUUGUUUGUGCAACUUUGCAGGCAAUGAGAUAAACCCGAACACCUUAGCUCUAGACGGUGUCAACGUUAUGGAAGAACGCUUAGCAAAUGAGCAAAGUGCUAUAUGCAACUGGUGAUUGGAACUCGAAGGGAUUCGUUCUCAAGGAAACAAGUAAGUACAUUAUUGAUUGCUUUUCGCUCUACUUACCACUUUGAUUGUUGUCGUGCUCUUAGUUAUCUGAAGUAUAUCUCAUGUUUGCAUUGGGUAUAAAUUGGAUCAUAGCUAAUGAAAUUUCAAAAUGAAGAACAACGAUAUACUGGAAAAUUGGCUACCAAUUGGUUGGUUAUGAACUUCCUUUGCCGGCCUCACAACACUUGUUGAUUUUUGGCAAUUUUUGAACUUGCCAAAUGUUGGCAAGCCAAUUUUGGCUCCUAACCAAGUAUGCUUGAAACCCUGAUGCUGGUGAAGGUGGUGUUUAGUGGCAUCGACUAGGGUGAGGGAGACACGAGCUGCCUUGGGGUAGUGUCGAGUGAGGGGCGGCAUGUGGCGGCACCGAGGUGAGGGAAGGACUAGCAUGGUUUGAAGGUGGGUUUGGACGACAUCGGGGUAGGGGUUGGCGGGUUUUUAUGGAGGACCUGGUGACGAUGAUCUUGUCCACAAGCAACCUAGGUGACAAUGAUCUCAUCUACGAGAAGCCUUUUUUUCCUAGGUCCAACUUGAGUUGUGAGGAAAAAAACUAAAGCUAACUUUGUUAUAAAAAACAGCACGAACAAAACAUAUCCGUGUUAGCGUCCCAGGCCCAGCUCCCAACCUAUGUCCCACAUUCGGGCAUUUCUGAUGCGCAUUGGACAAACCACUAUAAGUGGAUGGUCCAUCACAUCCCAUAAGACUAGCCUAAACUGAGUGCGACACUUUCUCUUUUAAGGUGGCACUAGCCCCUGGGUCAUUUGGAUGUUCGGUGCGCAUCAGGCAUACAACUAUAAGCAGAGAGCUCAACACAACCCAACAGACUAGUCUAAAAAGAGUGUGGCACUCUCACUUAUAAGGUUAUCACAGCCUACCUCGUAACGAACUGCGACUAAAGUCACUAACUGUUGGGGAACGUUGCAGAAAACAAAAAUUUUCCUACUCGUUUCACCAAGAUCAUCUAGGAGUUCAUCUAGCAACGAGUGAUUAGAUGCAUCUACAUACCUUUGUAGAUCGCGAGCGGAAGCGUUCAAAAGAACGGUGAUGAUGUAGUCGUACUCGACGUGAUCCAAAUCACCGAUGACCAGCGCCGAACGGACGGCACCUCCGCGUUCAACACACGUACGGAACAGCCACGUCUCCUCCUUCUUGAUCCAGCAAGGGAGGGAGGAGAGGUUGAGGGAGAUGGCACCAGCAGCAGCACGACGGCGUGGUGUUGAUGGAGCUGCAGUACUCCGGCAGAGCUUCGCUAAGCACUAUGGAGGUUGAGGAGGUGUUGGGGAGGGAGAAGGAGGCAACCAAAGGCCGAGGCGUUCAGGUAUGAAGUCCCUCCUCCCCCCCACUAUAUAUAGGGGUGCCAAGGGGGGGUGGCCGGCCCUAGGAGAUCCAAUCUCCUAGGGGGUGCGGCGGCCUAGGGGGGUUUUCCUCCCCCCCAAGGCACCUAGGAGGUGCCUUACCCUCCUAGGACUCUUGCCCCCCUUGAACCCUAGGCGCAUGGGCCUAUGUGGGGCUGGUGCCCUUGGCCCAUUAGGCCAAGGCGCACCCCCACCAGCCCAUGUGGCCCCCCCGGGACAGGUGGACCCACCCGGUGGACCCCCGGGACCCUUCCGGUGGUCCCGGUACAAUACCGAUAACCCCGAAACUUGUCCCGAUGCCCGAAACAGGACUUCCCAUAUAUAAAUCUUUACCUCCGAACCAUUCCGGAACUCCUCGUGACGUCCGGGAUCUCAUCCGGGACUCCGAACAACAUUCGGGUUACUGCAUAUACAUAUCCCUACAACCCUAGCAUAACUGAACCUUAAGUGUGUAGACCCUACGGGUUCGGGAGACAAGCAGACAUGACCGAGACGACUCUCCGGUCAAUAACCAACAGCGGGAUCUGGAUACCCAUGUUGGCUCCCACAUGCUCCACGAUGAUCUCAUCGGAUGAACCACGAUGUCGAGGAUUCAAUCAACCCCGUACGCUAUUCCCUUUGUCUAUCGAUAUGUUACUUGCCCGAGAUUCGAUCGUCGGUAUCCCAAUACCUCGUUCAAUCUCGUUACCGGCAAGUCACUUUACUCGUACUGUAAUGCAUGAUCCCGUGACCAGACACUUGGUCACUCUGAGCUCAUUAUGAUGAUGCAUUACCGAGUGGGCCCAGUGAUACCUCUCCGUCAUACGGAGUGACAAAUCCCAGUCUUGAUCCAUGUCACCCAACAGACACUUUCGGAGAUACCCGUAGUCUACCUUUAUAGUCACCCAGUUACGUUGUGACGUUUGGCAUACCCAAAGCACUCCUACGGUAUCCGGGAGUUACACGAUCUCAUGGUCUAAGGAAAAGAUACUUGACAUUGGAAAACUCUAGCAAACGAACUAUACGAUCUUGUGCUAUGUUUAGGAUUGGGUCUUGUCCAUCACAUCAUUCUCCCAAUGAUGUGAUCUCGUUAUCAAUGACAUCCAGUGUCCAUAGUCAGGAAACCAUGACUAUCUGUUGAUCAACGAGCUAGUCAACUAGAGGCUCACUAGGGACACGUUGAUGUCUGUUAUUCACACAUGUAUUACGAUUUCCGAAUAACACAAUUAUAGCAUGAAUAAAGACAAUUAUCAUGAACAAGGAAAUAUAAUAAUAAUGCUUUUAUUAUUGCCUCUAGGGCAUAUUUCCAACAGUCUCCCACUUGCACUAGAGUCAAUAAUCUAGUUACAUUGUGAUGAAUCGAACACCCAUGGAAUUCUGGUGUUGAUCAUGUUUUGCUCUAGGGAGAGGUUUAGUCAACGGAUCUGCUAUAUUCAGGUCCGUAUGUACUUUACAAAUCUCUAUGUCUCCAUCUUGAACAUUUUCACGAAUGGAGUUGAAGCGACGCUUGAUGUGCCUUGUCUUCUUGUGAAACCUGGGCUCCUUGGCAAGUGCAAUAGCUCCAGUGUUGUCAUAGAAGAGCUUGAUCGGCCCCGACGCAUUGGGUAUGACUCCUAGGUCGGUGAUGAACUCCUUCACCCAUAUUGCUUCAUGUGCUGCCUCCGAGGCUGCCAUGUACUCCGCUUCACAUGUAGAUCCCGCCACGACGCUCUGCUUGCAACUGCACCAGCUUACUGCCCCACCAUUCAAAAUAUACACGUAUCCGGUUUGUGACUUAGAGUCAUCCAGAUCUGUGUCGAAGCUAGCGUCGACAUAACCUUUUACGACGAGCUCUUCGUCACCUCCAUAAACGAGAAACAUUUCCUUAGUCCUUUUCAGGUACUUCAGGAUAUUCUUGACCGCUGUCCAGUGUUCCUUGCCGGGAUUACUUUGGUACCUUCCUACCAAACUUACGGCAAGGUUUACAUCAGGUCUGGUACACAGCAUGGCAUACAUAAUAGAACCUAUGGCUGAGGCAUAGGGGAUGACACUCAUCUCUUCUAUCUCUGCUGCCGUGGUCGGACAUUGAGCUGAGCUCAAUUUCACACCUUGCAAAACAGGCAAGAACCCUUUCUUGGACUGAUCCAUUUUGAACUUCUUCAAAAUCUUAUCAAGAUAUGUGCUUUGUGAAAGACCUAUGAGGCGUCUUGAUCUAUCCCUAUAGAUCUUGAUGCCUAAUAUAUAAGCAGCUUCUCCAAGGUCCUUCAUUGAAAAACUCUUAUUCAAGUAGGCCUUAAUGCUGUCCAAAAGUUCUAUAUCAUUUCCCAUCAAAAGUAUGUCAUCUACAUAUAGUAUGAGAAAUGCUAUAGAGCUCCCACUCACUUUCUUGUAAACAUAGGCUUCUCCAUAAGUCUGUGUAAACCCAAACGCUUUGAUCAUCUCAUCAAAACGAAUGUUCCAACUCCGAGAUGCUUGCACCAGCCCAUAAAUCGAGCGUUGGAGAUUGCACACCUUGUUAGCAUUUUUAGGAUCGACAAAACCUUCCGGCUGCAUCAUAUACAAUUCUUCCUUAAGGAAACCAUUAAGGAAUGCCGUUUUGACAUCCAUUUGCCAAAUUUCAUAAUCAUAAAAUGCGGCAAUUGCUAACAUGAUUCGGACGGACUUCAGCUUCGCUACCGGUGAGAAAGUCUCAUCGUAGUCAACCCCUUGAACUUGUCGAUAACCCUUAGCGACAAGCCGAGCUUUAUAGAUGGUCACAUUACCAUCCGCGUCUGUCUUCUUCUUAAAGAUCCAUUUCAUUUUCUAUGGCUCUCCGUUCUACGGGCAAGUCAGUCAAAGUCCAUACUUCGUUUUCAUACAUGGAUCCUAUCUCGGAUUUCAUGGCUUCUAGCCAUUUGUCGGAAUCCGGACCCGCCAUCGCUUCUUCAUAGUUCGAAGGUUCACCGUUGUCUAACAACAUGAUUUCCAAGACAGGGUUGCCGUACCACUCUGGUGCGGAACGUGUCCUUGUGGACCUUCGAAUUUCAGUAGGAGUUUGAUCAGAAGUAUCUUGAUCAUUAUCAUUAACUUCCUCUCUAGUCGGUGCAGGCACCUCAGGAACAUUUUCUUGAGUUGCGCCAUUUUCCGGUUCAAGAGGUAAUACUUCAUCAAGCUCUACUUUCCUCCCACUUACUUCUUUCGAGAGAAACUCUUUCUCCAGAAAGGACCCAUUCUUGGCAACAAAGAUCUUGCCUUCGGAUCUGAGGUAGAAGAUAUACCCAACAGUUUCUUUAGGGUAUCCUAUGAAGACACAUUUUUCCGAUUUGGGUUCGAGCUUUUCAGGUUGAAGUUUCCUGACAUAAGCAUCGCAUCCCCAAACUUUUAGAAAUGACAGCUUAGGUUUCUUCCCAAACCAUAAUUCAUAUGGUGUCGUCUCAACGGAUUUCGACGGGGCCCUAUUUAAAGUGAAUGCGGCAGUCUCUAAAGCAUAGCCCCAAAAAGAUAGUGGUAAAUCGGCAAGAGACAUCAUAGAUCGCACCAUAUCUAAUAGAGUGCGAUUACGACGUUCGGACACACCAUUACGCUGAGGUGUUCCAGGCGGCGUGAGUUGUGAAACUAUUCCACAUUUUCUUAAGUGUGUACCAAACUCGUGACUCAAGUAUUCUCCUCCACGAUCUGAUCGUAGAAACUUGAUUUUCCUGUCACGUUGAUUCUCAACUUCACUCUGAAAUUCCUUGAACUUUUCAAAGGUCUCAGACUUGUGUUUCAUUAAGUAGACAUACCCAUAUCUACUCAAGUCAUCAGUGAGGGUGAGAACAUAACGAUAGCCACCGCGAGCCUCAACACUCAUUGGACCGCACACAUCAGUAUGUAUGAUUUCCAAUAAGUUGGUUGCUCUCUCCAUUGUUCCUGAGAAUGGAGUCUUGGUCAUUUUACCCAUGAGGCAUGGUUCGCACGUGUCAAAUGAUUCGUAAUCAAGAGACUCUAAAAGUCCAUCAGCAUGGAGCUUCUUCAUGCGUGGUGUUGUUGGAGCUGCAGUACUCCGGCAGAGCUUCGCUAAGCAAUAAGGAGGUGGAGGAGGUGUUGGGGAGGGAGAAGGAGGCAACCAAAGGCCAAGGACUCAAGGUAUGAAGUCCCUCCUCUCCCCCACUAUAUAUAGGGGUGCCAAGGGGGGGGUGGCCGGCCCUAGGAGAUCCAAUCUCCUAGGGGGUGCGGCGGCCAAGGGGGGUUUCCCUCCCCCCCAAGGCACCUAGGAGGUGCCUUACCCUCCUAGGACUCUUUCCCCCUUAAACCCUAGGCGCAUGGGCCUAUGUGGGGCUGGUGCCCUUGGCCCAAGCAGGCCAAGGCGCACCCCCUACAGCCCAUGUGGCCCCCGGGGAUGGGUGGCCCCACCCGGUGGGCCCCCCGGACCCCUCCUGUGGUCCCGGUACAAUACCGAUAACCCCGAAACUUGUCCCGAUGCCCGAAACAGGACUUCCCAUAUAUAAAUCUUUACCUCCGGACCAUUCCGGAACUCCUCGUGACGUCCGGGAUCUCAUCCGGGACUCCGAACAACAUUCGGGUUACUGCAUAUACAUAUCCCUACAACCCUAGCGUAACUGAACCUUAAGUGUGUAGACCCUACGGGUUCGGGAGACAAGCAGACAUGACCGAGACGACUCUCCGGUCAAUAACCAACAGCGGGAUCUGGAUACCCAUGUUGGCUCCCACAUGCUCCACGAUGAUCUCAUCGGAUGAACCACGAUGUCGAGGAUUCAAUCAACCCCGUACGCUAUUCCCUUUGUCUAUCGAUAUGUUACUUGCCCGAGAUUCGAUCGUCGGUAUCCCAAUACCUCGUUCAAUCUCGUUACCGGCAAGUCACUUUACUCGUACCGUAAUGCAUGAUCCCGUGACCAGACACUUGGUCACUCUGAGAUCAUUAUGAUGAUGCAUUACCGAGUGGGCCCAUUGAUACCUCUCUGUCAUACGGAGUGACAAAUCCCAGUCUUGAUCCAUGUCACCCAACAGACACUUUCGGAGAUACCCGUAGUCUACCUUUAUAGUCACCCAGUUACGUUGUGACGUUUGGCAUACCCAAAGCACUCCUACGGUAUCCGGGAGUUACACGAUCUCAUGGUCUAAGGAAAAGAUACUUUGACAUUGCAAAACUCUAGCAAACGAACUAUACGAUCUUGUGCUAUGUUUAGGAUUGGGUCUCGUCCAUCACAUCAUUCUCCCAAUGAUGUGAUCUCGUUAUCAAUGACAUCCAGUGUCCAUAGUCAGGAAACCAUGACUAUCUGUUGAUCAACGAGCUAGUCAACUAGAGGCUCACUAGGGACAUGUUGGUGUCUGUUAUUCACACAUGCAUUACGAUUUCCAGAUAACACAAUUAUAGCAUGAAUAAAGACAAUUAUCAUGAACAAGGAAAUAUAAUAAUAAUGCUUUUAUUAUUGCCUCUAGGGCAUAUUUCCAACACUAACAACACCCAAUAGCCACUAGCCUAACAAGAGGUCCCCGAACUGAGGAAUAAAGAUACAUACGAGAGGCCAACUUUCCACACUUUUGUUUUAGUUCUUAGUUUAUAGUUUCUAAUAAAGCAUAUCUUUAAAAAAAUUCCAUAGAGUGGGAGGACCGAUGAAAUGGAAAAUAACCACUACAACUCCAACGUGCGAUCACAUUUGGUCUGUCCACGUCCGUUUGGGUCGAAACAGACAGAAAUCACAGUCCAACGCGGCGACCAAACUAACAAGCGUCCAUUUUUCAUCCGCCCGCGACCCAUUUAUGGCCCAAAUUUGGCCAGGGUUUGCGCAGGCGCGGAGGCAUGCGACGUCUGUCCUUGUCCUCUUCCUGGCCCGCCCGUCGGUGGCACGUAUGACAUUCUCCCCUCCCCCUCCAUACCCAACACCAUUCGGCCUCACCGCUGCCACCCACUUCCGGCCGCCGCUCCCAGGCCUCCUCUCACAUCCACCUACUCCCCCACCUCAACGUCGCAUCUGAGGCACAUUCUUGACGCAUUGGUGGCCUCUUCUCGCCGCUGUUGGUGCCAGGGAAGCCAUGGUCGCCAGCACUGACCUCCCCUCCACUUCCACCGGCCUCAGCUCCGCACUCGCCUCCCCUUUGAUAGGUCUGCUGCCUGUACAGUAAAGGCGCGUGGCUUUUCACCGGCGACUACUACAGCACACCUAAAGGUGUUGGGGGCUUUGCCCUCAAGGUACAAUGGCUAGUGGGGAUGAAUUCUUUUUCAACAACUUCAUUUGUGAUUUGGACGAUUUGUCGUUGGAUCAAGAAGAUUUUGUAGUUGCUACUUUGAUCGUCAACGGACACAUUGCUAGGCAGCGACCGAGAUUCAGGGUAUCCAUUUUGGGCCAUGCUCCGACGUUGAAUCAAAAUAGAGAGAUAGUAGACAUUGCCUACUCUUCGCCGACUACUUUCAAUGCACGUCCCCACUCUUCAGUCCUAAGCAUUUCUAGCACCGCUUCCGGAUGGUGACAUGUGUUUAACCGUAUUCGGGAGGGAUGGUGGCGCAUGAUGAUUACUUUAGACGCAAAGAGGAUGCCCUUGGAAUGGUUGGCUUCUCCUCUUAUAUCAGAAUGCACCGCGGUUGUUCGGAUGCUUGCAUAUGGAAUUCACGGUGAUAUUGUUGAUGAGUAUCUCUGCAUAAGCAAGUCCACAUGCCUUGCAUCACUGUACAAGUUCUGCAAGGCUGUGGUAGCAGUGUUUGGCCCGGAGUACUUCAGAGAGCCAAAUGCUAUAGAUACAAGCCAGUUGUUAGGGAUCGGUGUAGAGAGAGGCUUUUCGGGAAUGCUUGGUACCAUAAAUUGUAUGCAUUGGGAGUGGAAGAAUUGUCUGUUUGCUUGACAGGGACAAUAUAAGGGGCACGUGAAAGCUUGCACUUCAUACUUUGAAGUUGUGGCUUCACAAGAUAUCUGAGUUUGGCACUCUUUUUUAGGUAUGAUUGAGUAUCGCAAUGAAAUCAACGUGUUUCAACGCUCUCCGGCAUUUGGAAGGCUUGCAGAAGACAAUUGCCCAGAGGUGAACUUUGAGCUCAAUAAGCACCACUACAACAAAGGAUACUACCUAGUGAAUGAUAUCUAUCUUCAUUGAUCAACUCUUGUGAAGACAAUCUCCAAUCCGAUAGUAGAGAAGAGGUAUAGGUUUGCCUAAGCACAAGAGUUCAUCCAAUUUCAUACAGAAAUACAUGAUUAGGAAACUCACAUCCAACUCCAAAAUGACUUGGUUGAGCACAUGUGGGCUCACCUUGGCAACCAAUAUAUGUAUUGGUUUUUUUCUUUCAAUGUAUUUAUGACAAUUUAAAUUUAGUUGUAAAUUAUGAGUUUUUUAUUUGGUUGUAAAGUAUUUAUUAUUGUCGUGUAAAACUAUGUGAUUUAUUUGGUUGUGCAAUGUUAGUUCAGAUAUAUGCAUGAAAAAAUUGUGCAUAUUUGGCCGCUGGCCGACCGGGCGAAUCAAAUGGGUCGGCGGAUUGAGCGCACUUCCACGAAAACAUAAACCAGGCCGGACGCCGCCUCUUUGACGGACCCAGUGAACAAAAGAGGGACCAAAUUCACAUAAGUUUGAAUUGUCGCGUUGGAGUUAGCCUUAUCUCCCCUUUAUUGACGUGAAGAUGUUUAAUGAUUCACCCAGGCACAUCCUGAUCACACACUUUUUUUGAGCACAUCCUGAGCACACACUUCACCCAGUGCAUCGCGACCACACCUCACCGUCGGCCCAGGCCCAAGCCCAGCCUUUGACAAUCGAUAGGCGGCGGAGGCCGCCAGCAGGCAGGUAGCGGCGUACAUCCACGUCCACGUCGUCAUCCAUCUCUCUCCCUCAACCGUAAUCCCACCUCCCCAACGCCGCGCAUUCAAAUCCUUGAUUUCCCGGCCCCAUCCUCCCGCGUGUGGACCAGGUUUCCUGGCGCGCGAACCGUUGGCCACGAUGGAGCGUCGCGUUAUCGCGAGCCUAUCCGGUGUGGCGCCGGGGGGAUGAGGGCGCCCGGUGCCAGUGGCCGGCAUCCACCGGCCGUGGCGAGCCGCACGCCGCCGCGCGCACCGCACCCGGCCCUGGGGUGUUUGUCCGCACGCACGCGCUCCGCGCACUAUUUGUUGCGCGUAUAAGGAGGGCAGCAGGCACUGCCCAUCUGCACAAUGUCGACCGCCGCGGCUAACUGGUGCUACGCAACCGUAGUCGCGCCCCGUGCCCGCUCCUCCACCAUCGUCGCCAGCCUCGGCACCCCCGCGCCCUCCAACUCCUCCUCCUUCCGCCCCAAGCUCAUCAGGAACACCCCCGUCCAGGCCGCCCCCGUCGCACCCGCAUUGGUACGUACUACGCACGUUCGCAGCUGCAUGCACCAUGCAUAUCGUUUCCUCUAUCCGGCCGGCAGAGCCCUUGUUAAGCUUGGCUAAGUUUGGCACCAUGGCGUGUCCUUUGCUGUUUUGGGAACGACGUACGUGGGUCACUCACGGGUCCCCUUGCUCCACGCCACAUGCCUAGAUCUUCUUCCCACAAUAUGGGAGAACGGCAUGCAAGGUCUAGAGGUAACCAAAAUGCAUGUGAUGGCUCAACCAAAUGCACCUUAUUUUCGACCUCAAAAAACCAAAACGCAUUACUGCUGCACAGUUGACCAGCUCUGCACAUGGGGCUUGCAUGUCGCCAUGAUCCCCUAUACUCUUGCAACCUUUUCUAUUUAUGCGAACGCAAUCAUUGAAUAUUAUAUAUAUGGAUCUAACAGACAAAAGGCAUUGUGUUUUUAGUCCUCUCUGCAUCCACCAUCAACAUGCAUGUCAACAAACUGGAUAGAAUAUAUGUGGGAUGAACAUGAACGGGUUUCCAGAGAGGUGGCCAGCGAUAAUGUUAGUUUAACACAAUAAUGUGCUCUGGGUUGAAAAUAACUCCACAAAGUCUCAAGUGUACAGGACAAAGUUUAUACUAGCGCAUAAACAUGUAGCGGCAGCUUUUCCUUAAAGCAAUAAGGUGGAGUCUAUCGGGCAUUAUUGCUAGGUAAGACUGAAAGGACACCAAUUAAGCUAGGUCUACUCUAUGUUUCUAGCACUCUCUUGGUUCUUGGAGAAAAAUGACCAUACUUUGGCUUUGAUGUUGAGUAGUUUGACUUUGAUCCGCAAAAGCUUGCAGAAAUACUAACGACUAGGUCAUCCACUGCGUCAGCUUCCUAUUCUUUUUUUUUUUUUUGAUAUAAGAAGCUUCCUGUUUUCCUCUUUUUGAGUUUUCAAACACCACCAAGGCAAGUUACUACACUAAAUCCAACUCGAAGGAUAUAAGAAAUCUUCAUUUAUUUCAAUAAAACAAACAGUAAGUGCAGAAAUAUCAAAUAAUCUACAUGAAACACGUUAACUAUGGAGUCGUUAAGGCAGUUGUUACUUUGGCUUAUCUAAGUAAGUAAAGUAAGGUACUCCUAAGCUAGGUCUACUCAAUGUUUCCAUUCUCUUGAUUCUUGGAGAAAGAUGUCCAUCCUUUGUCUUGAUGUUGAGUUGAGUAGUUUGACUUGGGAUAGCAAAAGCUUGCAGAAAUAACGACUAGGUCAUCCACUCCGUCAGCUUCCUAUGUUUCCUCUUUUCGAGUAUUCAAACACCACCUAUGCAAGCUACUACUACACUUAAUCCAACCCGAAUGUUAUAACAAAUCCUCAUAUUUAUAUUAAUAUUUCAUUUGAAGGAAACAAAGAGCCAGUGCAUUACCAAGCUUUUACGUAGGAGAUUGUACAUAAAAACGUGUUAACCAUAUGUAGGAGGAGGCCUGAUAUUUUGUUGGUAUCAACGUCACAACGGUACACGUAGUGAUGUGAUAUCGAUGCAGAGGUUGAAGCUGAUUGCAACCCUCAACCAUGUGUGGUUGUAGUACCAUAUCCAGCUUCUCCAGCUGAGAUGUCAACAAAGAAAGAAUCCUGCAUAUAUGUCGCCCCAAUGUUUUAAUCUUCUCUCGCAAAAAAAUUAAAAAUAAUGUUUUAAUCUUAUUGGCAGUUCAUUCUAAAGAAUGGGCUGAAAUAUUAUUUGGCAUCAUACAUCAUGCUCCAUGCAUGUAAAAAACGAGCAGAAACGCCGUUAAAGAAAAAGAAAGCAAGCAGUUGCCGUUGGACUUGGAUCGGCGACUGCUUUGGGCAGCAGACGCGGGCCGGAAGGAGUCGUGGCGGAGAUUCAGGAGGGCUCGUCGUCGACUGAGGAGGAGGGAGGGAGGGAGGGAGGGAGCAAGGUUCCAAUAAUUCAGGAAGCGGUGGUCUGGGCAGUUGGUACGGGAGGGAUAGAGGCGUCAAUUCAGGGGGCCCCGCAGGUGGAACUCGUGGCCGGGCGGCCCUUCCGCGGCCCCGGCAUCUGGAAUUAGCGUACCCGACGUUGGUUGAGUAGAGAGAGGAGCCCAGCACAUUACUACCAAUUGCCAAUUUUCUUGUUGCCAAUUGUCCUUGGAUCUGGGAGCCGGUGAUUACCCCAGGCCCACCUUCACCCAUGCACCUGACCUGGGCAAGCGCAAGCGCUUCUGGCCUGGGGAUCUGAGAUACUACUGCUGCUCAACUAGGCACUAGGCAGGCAGCACACAAUUGAAGGCAUGUCCAACCUGCAUAUGCUUUGACUUGUGAACUGUGUCCACACCCUAGGCCUAGUGGCAAUUGCAUCACGCGCCAGCUACCGUCUUCCUUGUUUCGUAGUACAGUACUAGCUUUCUCUAGACGCAUUUCCUCGUAUUUAUUUAAUUCCAUGAAUAAUAAGAUUAUAAAGUACUAGUACUCCAAAAGGAUAAAGAUAAGGAUGCCCGGUCACCAUGAAUUCACGGGCUUAAUGAUCUGAUCAAAACAUACCAAAAGAAAGAAAGAGAAAGAGAACCGCUGCCAUUGCGAUGGGCCAUUUGGCCACAAAGCCGGCCAGCCCCUCCUCCUUUGCUGCUAACUUCUUUCGUUGCCUUCUUCUUUCCACGUGCCGUGUUUGCCAGUAAUCCAUCCAUCCAUCCAUCGGGGAGAAGAGAGAAAACCCAAAAGAGUAGAGUCGCGAACGCGAGCGCGAUAGUUGAAGAUGAGCGGCUGCCUGUGCCUCCCCUGCUGCUAUAAGAAGCCCUCCGCCCCCGGUGGGGAGAACACAACUCCCCCAGCAGCAGCGAUAGAUUCUUCCUCCUCGUCACUCCUCCAGAAGCCUACCUACCAUCCACCACCUCCUCCACCCUCCAACAAGGUCCGUCUCCCUCCUCUCCCUUCCUCCCCCUCCCCCACACACCACCCGUAAACUGCUCCAUCCAUCCAUCCAUCUCUUCUUUUUCCGUUUCCUUUUCGGCCGCCCCCCUUUCGAUUCAGUUCACAGCUUGCCCUUUCAGCUUUUCUUUCUUUUUUGUUGCUGUUGUAAAGCAUUUAGUUAUCCUCUUGAAUCGCCUUUGCUUGCGCACGCUCUCCCUUUCCGUGGGCACAGCUCUCUCUCUCUCUCUCUCUCUCUCUCUCGAAAUUCGCAUGAUGCAUAUCGAGUGUUUAUUUGUUUCUUCUUGCUGCGAGUGUGUGGCGACGCGACGGCAACUAAUUUGGUGUUGAUCCUCUCCUCUCCUCCCCUUGCAGAUGGACGCCGCCGUGGAGCGCCUCAAGACCGGGUUCGAGAAGUUCAAGACCGAGGUCUACGAGUAAGUUCACCCCCAAUCCUGUUCCUGUCCUGCCGCUUCGACUGAUGAUGGUUUCUUUGCUUCGAUUUGAGUCUUCUUCUUCUUCUUCUUCUUCUUCUUCUUCUUCUUCUUCUUCUUCUUCUUCUUCUUCUUCAACUGAUUGUCUGUCCGUUUCCGUUUCCGUUUCCUCUUUGCAGCAAGAAGCCCGAUUUCUUCGAGCCCCUCAAGGCCGGCCAGGCGCCCAAGGUAUGUACCGCAUCCAUCAUUUCCUUGAGCCAAUGUUGUCUCUAGCAGCUGGAGUACUCUUGUUAUAUUUGUUCUGUUGUGGUAGCAGAAGAGUGUUUAGUCUUUAGCGCAGCAGCGGAAGAAGUCCUCUGUUCGCAUUAGCCUGCCGUUCGGCGCAUAACCCGGAACACACUCUGUGGGUGCCCAUAGCAUUUCCUGAUGCGGUCAAAGCAGAUGAAACGCUUGUCCUAAUUGCAUGGCCUGGCCGUAAGAGGGGACAGCUUGUCGCCAUUGCCAGCCAGUUGAUACUUGAUACUAGGUUAUGUGUUAACACAACCACUACUGUACUAGCGUACCAAAGAUGGGCGGUAGGCAAUCUCAGGCUGAAACCAGUACAGUUGUGGAUCUCCCUCCGAAUAAACCCCCACCUGUCGUGCACAUCCAGGAAAUCGGAUCGCGCCGCGGUAACGACUCCCAUGUGCACGGCGAUGCCAUGAUAUGAUUUGGCUUAUUGAGAUGUUUUUUUUUUGACCCAAGGCUUAUUGAGAUGUCACCGUCUUUGUGGUCUUGUGGCAUUAGAAUAUGGUUCUUUUUCCCCCUUUUCUGUUGUUGUAGCAGCUAGGAUAAAUUGACGCUCAGAAUCUUGCAAGUACAAGAAGAAGCGUUUUAUUUUCCCUCUCUUCUGGAUUCUCUUCUCCAUUGGCGUGCUUGCCAAUGCAGUCGUUGAGGUUCCCUUGGCUGGCUGUGUUGAAUUUCGAUCCCAGCCGUCUCAGUUGCAGCUAUCCUUUUUUCUUUGAGAAAAAAUGGCCGUCACCCCGCACUAUCGGAGUUGAAGAUGAAGGUCUUUUGAUGAUGUCCAUUUAUAUGGAAGCUUCAUCAUCUUGGCACCGGCCGCGUCGGACCCCACGCGCAAGAACCGUGAGCGGCAAGUCUUGCUCCGUCCUCGCUCGGGGUAUUAUUUAUUGUAAGCAGAGAAGAAGUACUACCUGAGAACAGGGCAUAGCUAGCUGGAGCUGCCAGUGUAUGGCUAUGGCGCUGCCGCUUUGCGUGGUACUCCAUGAUUAAGCAGGCCCUACCCUACCAUGGAGGGGGCUAUCAAUCGGUGGACCACCCAUUACAGUCACAGAUUAAUGCGUGUGUGGACGGAGCCUUACGAAAGAGUUUGGCGCCUACAUACAUAUGUUUGGCCGUAUCCUUUUAGAGAUUGGCAUAUGCUUAUCUUUAUCAGUCAGGUUGGCCUAUGCAAGCACCGAGUGCCUCUCGCAGCAGUACUACCUGACCUGAGAGAUCGGUUAAGGCCCAAAGGCUGCUUUACAGGGAGACGGUAAUACUGUAAUCCACAGCUGAUGAUCCGUGCCACAUCCCACAGCAGUGCUGCUACUGCAGGAAGAAAAGAUCCUACAGUAGUACUUCCGGCGUGUCGCCAUCGGAGGAGCAAGCUGCGGCGCGUGAGCAGUGGGCCUGGCUUCAUUUCUUGCACAAGAAACCGCCGGUGGUCCUGUCUUCUUGAUAACUCACACAAAGGCCUGGCCCAUAAUCAAGUCCUUCGUCGGGUCUGGUCUACUGUCACGCGUCAUAAUCAAGUGUUUAGUCGGUAAUUUGGUUUGGAAAUAGAAGCCUGUGUACUGUCCAGUAGGCGUGCCACGGAGGGAACCUUGCCGCUACUUGCUUGCCUCGCCUUUCUGUCUCCUGUGCCGUACGUCUCCGGUUCCUUCUCGCGAGCCCCUCUGCAUGCCUCCCCUCUGGAUAAAAAGUGGGUAUGCUGGGCCGGAGACAGGUCAAAAGCGGCGGCCUUUAGCGCAAAGCUCUGUGUGUGUGUGUGUGUGUCAGAAGGAAGGAUACGCCUACUCCACCUAUCACUCGUAUUAUCAGCACAUCUGCUUAUAUUUGUUUAUGCGCUGAACAACGCAUCUGCUUAUCACUAACCACUGUGAGUGAAAUGCUCGCUAAUAUAACACCCCACAAAGUGGAUUCAGUGCUUAUUAUGCUUAGUACUACUAGUGGAGCAUCUUUUCUUUUAUUUUCUUUGUUCCUUGAUGAUGAUGAUUGACCUGGUGGUGGUGAUUGGCUGCGCAGUACAUGGUGUUCGCGUGCGCCGACUCCCGUGUGUGCCCCUCGGUCACCCUGGGCCUGGAGCCCGGCGAGGCCUUCACCAUCCGCAACAUCGCCAACAUGGUCCCCUCCUACUGCAAGGUCCCGCCCCGUUUCUCUCUUCCUCUUUUUUUCUUUCUCAUCGCCGAGCUGCAUUUUUGACGAUAUUUCUUUGUCAACUACAGAACAAGUACGCCGGUGUUGGAUCGGCCAUCGAAUACGCCGUCUGUGCUCUCAAGGUCAACUCCCUCCCCCUCUCUCUCUUUCUUUCUCUGGUGCUGUCGCUUCUAAAAUAGGAGUGCCAUAAUGCAUUAUUGCCCUAGUGGACUUUGCUGUCACCCAACUACUAGUAUAAGAACAAGUGAACAUGGGCACUGUCUGUAUUUUAGAGCGUGGCCUGAUAUGGACUUUACUUUCGGCUGCAGGUUGAGGUCAUCGUGGUGAUUGGCCACAGCCGCUGCGGUGGAAUCAAGGCUCUGCUCUCACUCAAGGAUGGCGCAGACGACUCCUUGUAAGUACCACUAGAGUAAAACGGCUCACAUCUUACUCCAGCUAACGCUGCUACCGUCUCUCCGAUCAGUUUCUGACUGUCUAUUUGGUUGGUCUUGGUCAGCCACUUCGUCGAGGACUGGGUCAGGAUCGGCUUCCCGGCCAAGAAGAAGGUGCAGACUGAGUGCGCCUCCAUGCCUUUCGAUGACCAGUGCACCGUCCUCGAAAAGGUUCGCACCAUUGCCCAUCUGCCAUCUCAUACUUUGCUCAUAUAUUACUCCUAUUGGCAGUACUGUAGACUUCGCAAUUCUGCAUGUGGUUUGUCUAACUGAUGAUUGGUACGCUGACCAAGGGAUAUUUCUGAAUUGUUUCCACAGGAGGCAGUGAACGUGUCCCUCCAGAACCUCCUGACCUACCCGUUCGUCAAGGAGGGUGUGUCCAACGGAACCCUCAAGCUGGUCGGCGGUCACUACGACUUCGUCUCCGGCAAGUUCGAGACAUGGGAGCAGUGAAUCUUCCCCAGCGGUUAACUCCUAUAUAUACAUGCGAAUGCAAACGCGUACAUAUAUCAAGAUAUCGUCCGACCGACCGAUGUGAAUCCAAUGCCAUGGAGUGCGUACUCGUUGUUUUCCAGUACUGGAUGCCGGGAUGGCCCGAUGUGAAUUCGCCAUAAGCAAUAGAACCCUUUUUCUUUUACCAUUUUCUGACGAGGAAUUGUACUACCCGUGUGAUGCAUAAUUUGAUCGUCCUGUGAUCAAAAGACAUCAUAUAUAAGUUUAAUAAUAUUUUCAUGAACAGUUUACCCCUUUUAUUACCCUUUGUCCUUGUGGUUUUCCGUCUUGUGUCUGGCACUGCUUAGCUGUUUGCCCAACCCAAGAAACAGUUUGUACUACUGUAUAUCU
rnacentral:lncRNA from 1 species